rnacentral:lncRNA from 1 species
GCGUUGACGAUCUUUUUUCCUUUCUUUGUGGACAUGACUACUAUUUAGCUGUGCUUGAUUAGUCCUCGCAUGACUUUUCUUCACACUGAUUUCAAUCCGAUUCGUCGACUCUAUUGGCCGGAUAUCAAUACCUUCUACUGAUCAGUGUGGCCAAUGCGUUAGCAAACUGAUUCUUCGUCCUCGACACAGAUAAUUGAAGGUAAUCCGUCUGGCUGAUAUCUUCCAGAUACUGAUGGUAGGGAAUGAGCUUCUUUUUGGUUUUCCAAUCACCAGUUGUCUGAAAGAUGAUAAGUGACGAAUCUCCAUAUACAUCAAUCUUCUUGAUUCUUAAGUCGAGGGCGCUUCAAAGAAGCGCCUGUGAUACGUCCUUCCACCGUCAAAAGUGGAAGGUGCGGAACGAGGAUAAAAAAACCUGGUGAAGUUCUACUUGUCGUUGUGCUCUUUGUCCAAGAUCAUUUUGGUCUGGCCAAAGGGUCGGAAAGUGCUUGGUAGCACUAUCCAGUCAAGGGGUACCAACCGGGGGGAACCUUGUCUUGAUAUAGUUAGGUUCCUGAUGGUAAAUACCAAAGAACUAUUCAGGGCGUACAUUACCGACUAUAAAUCUAUACCUUUGAAACUGGGGUUUAGAUUUAUACCAUCCUGGUCAUCCGGUCCAAACACCUACAAGAACCCGUUAAGGGAAGCGUGUUGACCGUUCCCGUCGUCACAGGCGCUUACACGAUUGAUGGCGAUUUUCCACACUUUGGGAGUCGACGCGACGGCGUGUUUGACGCUCACCAAACCCGAAACUCUCGCUCGGAUUGGACCGUUCGUUCUUGGUUUGCAUCGCAGUAUGUAUAUCCAGGCAGGGAGCUUCCGAUUGAAUCCAUCUUCUACUUAGAAGAUCCUAAAAUAGCAUAUAUAUUUAAGGCUAGUGAGCAGAAUGAAUCAACACUAGCCCUAUGAGUUUAGUUGUCAUCAUCCCAUGACUUCUGUUGGUCUAACCGGACCACCACUCCCGACGCAUUUCCGGGAAUCACCAGGAUGAUAAGUGAACGCUUGCUUCCCCACUAGAGGGAAGGGAAGGAAAGCGUUCCAAAGAUAAAGUAGCUCUAAACUCAUCGAUAUGAAAUCAUCGUCUCUAUUUUUUUUACUAACCCAACCUAAACCAAUCAUUCUCAUAUCUAUUAAGGAAAGGUUUGAACAGGCUCGUGCUCAUACGUAUGGAUACCGACAUGGCUACCAAAAAGGAGGAGAAUGGAUCCUUGAUUAUGUCACUAAGAAACCCUUGACCGCUAAAGCCAUAGUCUUACGAAAUGCAAUUAAAGGUCAUAGGGCAACCCUACUUCGAUCUCCAGAUCGAGUCAUAGGUCUAGGAGAUGCCAUGAGAAGGGAUACUUUCAGUCUUUUACUUUGGCAGAUAGUUUUGUUCAGUCUUAUGUUAGAGACCUACGAUUCAUUUUAGUAGUCUGUCUAUUACAAGGGUUUACGAUAUGGUGGGCUCAAACACACUCUCUACUUCUGAUGAGACCGGACCUGUGUUGUUCGCCUCAUCAUUUAGAAGUAGUGCGUCAGGCAACCUCAUGCCCAAUGGUGCAAAUAGGAUACGAUUUCUGUCCGCACUCACUCCAUUGUGCACAGGUAAUCAAAGAUUGCUCUCGCCCUACCGAAACCGCCUUUGACCCCCUAGGGCUCAACGCACUACGACCAUAUAGUAAAGCCAUCUCACUUUCCAUCAUGCUAGGUGCAGUAGUAGUAGCGCAGGCCUUAGGAGAAACAGUCUCCACAUUAUAAGCUAAGCAAAGGCUAAGGUUAGAGUCAAAAAAGACUAGGAAAGCGAAUCUCACCGAUAAACCUUUUUUUAUUUUAGGAUGGUCUAUUUCCUUUCCACACCUGUGUCGUACAACCACCUAAAGCGCUUCACUCUUAGCUAGACGAAUGCCUCUCACCUGAGAAUCCCUUCUGCUACUAGCGGAAAUCCUUGCUUCGAACUGACUUAAUAGGGUGGGGCGGUUAAUGAACUAAUACGACUUUCUAGAUGGAUGCAGGAGAACACUUUGCUACCGCUAGCCUUAGCUAGCCAGAAGUGAGCUCCUUUGUCGACUCAAAUUCCCUCCUUCCCUUCCCUGUCGCCUUUAGCUAAAUUUCUUGCUUCGCUAUACAGCUAAAGAACAACUACGACUGCACAACGACUAUAAAGGUGACUAAGGAUAACACCCUUGUUUCUAGCCAGCUCCUCUAGUUGAAAGAGAAUCCCCCUUUCCUUAUCUGUCGUCAACUGACUUAUGAGCUAACCUUGUUAGCCUCCUAUUCAUAGUAUCUACUCUAGUGUCUACUUGUGAUGCUUACCUUAAAUUACCUACGGUAAUUUACUGAGUUAUAACAAUUUUUUACUUGUAAACCUACGGUAAUAUAAGGAGUUAUAACAAUUAUACUAUAGUUUUUGUCCCAGCCUCAAAAUCCGUAGAUUCAGAAGGAGCCUCUCCACCUUUGAAAGAUGGGAAUCAACCCAGAUCCGCCUGGGCUUAGCAAGAUAUGUCAUAACCUCCCGAAUCAAUCAGAGGUGUAGCGGCCGGCCUCCCCCUUCAAUGGUUACGGAUCCUCCUUUCCUUUGCCCCUGAACCCCAGCCUGUGGAAGCUGAUCUCGGUUCACUUCUCUCUACUAUAUUUUGAACCUGAUGCUCGGUCGGGGAGCCUCGGAUUAAGAAAUGAAAGAUAAGUUGUUCGGAGGAGCUCCUCCUUCUGCCUGGGCCUUUGGGCCCAUAUCAACACUUCUGGGGGAAAGGAAUAGCUUUCAAAAGAUGGAUCAAUUGCAGCAGGGACUGGACUGGCUUCACUCGCACUCGACUAAUAAGCAAGGAGGAGACAUCUGCGGAUGCAUGCCCGACCCGAGCUACUAGGCCAGGGCCAUUAGAUCCGCUCUUCGCCUUUGCAGCUCUUCCUGAAGGAGGAGCCGUGCCAUCUCUAUCAGCUAGUGAGCUAGCCGCGAAAGGCAAUGAAAUUGUAGAUGCCCAGAAUAGGUUCUUUGACGGAUUGCCUUGCUUUAUGCCGUUAUGCCCCUUUGAAAGACCGCCCAAUAGGCUUUAUGGGACCCCCUUAUUAAACUCUAGAGAGAAUACUUUUUUUCAAUGGAUCCCCUUCCUGCCCCAGGGACUUUUGGCUACGAUUGCCGGGUUGCGGAUAUUCCCCUAACAGCUGAUUCACUAGCGAGUCCUCCAACAGCUCUUACUGGAACAGAAAAGACUAUUCUCCAGAGGGGGCCCUCUUCCUUUUAGGAGUCACAAUGUAAAUUCCCUUGAUCAACGGCCCUAUUUUUAGCACACUGGACUUACCGGCCUUAUGCCUCCGAAAAGGUACUAUUCUCUAGUAUACUCUUUCUUUAUAGUUCGCCAGCAAGGCAUUUUCCGAAGCAGGCAGGGCUAGAGCGGGGGAAUUGGCCAAUGCUAAGUGAUCUCCUCGCCCAAAGAGGGGUGGGGAAGAAGGAUACAAUAACGUGGCAUUAGCAAUGUUCAGGUUCGCUACAUCUGGGAAUUUUUCUUCAAAUUUGGCUGGUGAGAACUUUGAAGGAAAGAAUCUUAGUCCUAGGCCACAACAGCACCUGUUUAUCCCGAAUCUGUUUCCUUUCUUCAGCUUUCGAGCCCCUUUCUACACAAUCUCUUGCUGUCUUUUCCCGGAGGACGGGUUUUGAUCCUUUUUUAGCCGAGUUUUGUGUUUCGAGUCUCAUGUUGAGUUUUGUCUUUCAUGUGAGACUUUGCCUUAAAAACUAGGGCGGAGCCCGUUCCUCGCUCAAGUUUUGUCUCUUUCUUGACCCGCUUCCGGAUAAGUUGGCUAACCGUGGCCCUACUCCUUUCCCGAACCAGCAACCCCUCUUUCUGCUGCUUGCUAUUCCGAAGGAGCUUUCUAGCUAUUGACCCCGUGGAGGACCCUUCCGGCAUGUCGGGGUGGAUAGGAAAGUGCAGUGAAGUUCCUAAGAAGGAAAAUCCUGUACUAAAGAAGAACAAACAAGCUUAGCACUAGUGGUAUACCGUUCCCCGUUCAGUUGGCGCGUGCCUCGCUACAGAGAUUUUCAGAAAACCAGUUCUCUAAGGGAGCACAAGCACAUACGUGCUCGGGGAGAGUCAACGACAUACGCGGGGAACCACGCAUUCGACAACUCGCCAAACCGCAUACGCGGAAUCUUCCUUUAUAGCAUCCGAUUUUCAUCUCCUUGAUCCCAUCGCUCAAUGCUGACCUGACAUCUGCCCUGGGGGAAUGUUCGAAAGGAGUAGUAAUAGGGGCUUUGGGGCCUUGCGAAGAGACAUUCUGUCAUUCUCAUCAUUGUAAUAUUAAGUGUUGUAAGAUGUUUUAAUAAUAAAUGAUGUAGUUGUAAGAUCCUCCUUCUCCUCACCCUGCUUGGGAAUCAGUGUCGGGUACAUGGAAGAGUCAGAUUGAGAAAGAAAGGGUACGUAGAGGGGUCAGAAGUAGCGACGAGUUAAUCAAAAGUAGCAAGUUUGUUCUGUAGGCUUUCGUGAAUGGGGCUCAUGGCUUUCGAAGUCGAAAUCACCCGCUGAUAGUUGAAUUUUUUGUUCUUUCUCAAAGGGAUCGUAUUGACCCUCUUCUGAGCCUAUGGGAGAAGACUGGGUAGAAGAAGCUUUUAGCCGCUGCUUGUUCAGUGCUAUUUCCCGGUCGUCCAAUGGUCUUUAGUCGUUAUUAAGCCUGGUAUGUCUCCGCCCUGUGUCCACAAUUCCAGACCUUCAAUCCAAGAUCAUGCCUUGGGCUGGAUUAGUUCAAAUUUUUUUUGCUUAGUUCGCAUUCCGGGUAUGUGGAAAGCAAGAAAAACGUAUUCGCCAUAGUUACGAUAUCCUUUGCUGAAAGUACUAUUAUUCUCUUGACUUAAGGGGCAGUAAGUAGCUCACCAAUUUCGGGUGUACGCGUCCCGUAGUCUAACUGGUACUCAUGUCUUCUAUAGCAGUAUGGUAUAUGUAACGUUGUUGGUUCAAGGUUGCUUAGGACUGUCAGGUUGCUAGUCCUUCGAUGGUUCCCAACCCCUUUUCUCAAAAAUCCCAUUUCCUUCCAUGUGGGAAAUUUUUGAGUAGUAUCAGUUGAGUCAUUCGCAGAAGCAGCUCUUUCAAAAGCACCCAAAUCUGAUGAAGGAACUUUGGAAUCAGCGGUUCUUUCAUUCGCUGAAGAACAACGCACCGAGAAUAGAAUAAAAAGAAUCCGAUGGAUCAUACAUUGCACAGGCAUCAUCCUAAGAAGCCGAGGCCGAACUAACAUAUCAAGUUUAUCCCGAAACAACGGAUUCCUCACCCUCAGGAGCCCGAAGUAACUCAUCCUCAUCAGCCCCAAGUAACGAAUCCGAAUGCCUAUCUCCAGCCGAAUUCGUUUCAUAAGACUUAUCGGAAGUAGGAUAAGAAUCAUACGCUGAAUGAGCAGACGAAUCGACCGAGGAAAGAGAUGCUUACAUACUAGAACAGAACCUAACUCUACUUCUUUUUUUUCUUUCUCCUGUUGCUAUCCUCUCAACAGGUCGGUCAAUAUCAGUAGUGGAAGAAGCAGAGUAGUCCCCUGGUCAUCAGUUAGUAGUUGAAUAAUCCCAGUAGUGGUCCUCUUGCCUAGCGGAGUCAGCCCUUAAUGGACAAUGAUAGGCAGAUCAAAGAUUGCACAUCGCAGUCUAAGCGUGCUUGCUUUGCGCACCGGCACAGCAGAAUGAGAAUCCGCUGGCUCAGAUGAGUGGCUUUUGGCUUACUUCCUUGAGAAGGGCUUUCUGUAACUAAGAAAUGAGAAUUGUUGACCCAUAUGAUUAUGAUCUCAGGCUCAUAAAGAGGAUGAAACUGACAAUUUAAACUUUUUGAGCUCGUCAGUGAUCUUUUCCAUGGUGUCUAGAGAAACCAGCUUUGAACAUGACAUUCGUACCCAAGGAAAAUUUUAGCAGGCAUUACUAUGAUCUUGAAGCCCUUGCUAGGAGCUGCUCGGUACGGCUCACUACUAAACUAAAGAAGGUUCAGGCAUGCUUCGACUUAGCCCUGUGAUCCGCUAAUUCAUCUCUUGAUCUGGUAUUCCGAAAAGGGGGUGGAUAGGGUCAGCGAAAGAAGUGGCGAGGGCGGAAGAAAGGGUUUUCAAUUCCAGGGUCCCGCUCCUUGGAAAUGGGUAUUAAACAAAGGACAUAGUGGGUUAGGUAACACCCCCUUUGAGAGGAAAGAUCCAUCAAAGCAGAAAGUCCAGAGCAAAAGGAUUGGCUUCCAAGCCAAUGCGUAUGCUUUAAAAGUUAGACUUGGAACAACAAUAACCCUUAUCUGUACUUUAUUAAUGGGUUAGGAAUUCGUAGUGGGGCGUUCUUUUCAUAGAUCCUUUGAGCGAGAAAGGUGCUGCACCUUACCGGGGCCUUUGACCCUCAAGGUCAUCCGGAGCCACUUUAAAGCAGUUUAUUGGCCGUAGCAACGCAAUGUUCAGUGGUGGGGCAAAGCACUAGCGAGAAGCUUCCCUUGGGAUUUUUUUCCCAGGCAAGAAAGAAGUGAACGGAAGGAAAGGAAGGCCGUCGUGAGAGCUGUUAGUGGUUUAGUAAGGAAGGUCAUUAGGCUCAGUCCGUUGCUUGUUCCCUCACUGCACACUUUCUAUAUAUCUGUCUCCAUCCAAUCAAGGACGUCCAUACCAUAUAGAAUCAGGCUCGACAAAAACGAGACUAGGGACCAUGAACUCCUUCCAUCAUUAUUUGAUAAAGAAUGCUCCCCGCUUCUUCCUGUGGUUACUAUUAGAACACAAGCCAAGGAACUCAAAACCACAACACAAGCACCCCUUAAAAACUAGUUUUUUUUUUAGUUUUCGCCCGAUAGUAAAAAAAAGUUCCCCGUAGAACGCGAGCGUUGAGGCUUUCUUCGAAAGAAAGAGAGAGGCCCGGCUGGUGCUUUUUUCUGUGUUAGCCAGGUGAAAGGCUUGCUUAACUAUAAAUAGAUUAGUAAUAAGGUAUUAAGGAACUACUAAAACCGCUCUUCCCGGGCUAGUUGACUCUUAGCUUCCAGCGAGCUACGUGCAUAAGCUUUUUUUACUACUAAUACGAUUCCUAUCCUUACAAAAAGAAUAAGAUGUGAAGUAUCUUCUCGAUUCCUCUCCUUGAAAAAAAGUGGUCCGUCGACUGAAACUGAACUUGCCUUGUUGUGAUAGGGGUACCGGCUUUUUUUCAUUCCCACCAAGGAGCCGUAGCUUUACAACGAUAGGGCUUGACUGCCUUACCUUAUGUUAUUAGUAAAGCGCUAUAGCGCUCUUUACUAAUAACAUAGAAGGUAAAGGGGCCCACUUUUUUGUGAAGAAAGAGGGCUACUUCACGACCCGCUACUAAUAAUCGAAAGGGUUCACAGCGAGUUCAGUCUAUAGUGACGGAACGUUUCCGCCGGAGGGGUUUGUCUCCAUGGAAUGAGUAUUCACUACCGCUUACAGCGCCUUCAUUCACUCGUCUUGCUACUUUGGAAAACUUUUCAGCGGACACGUGGAGUCGAACGUCUCUCUACAAUGUACCGUAGGUAGACUGAUUAUUGUAGGUGACUGUCUCUAGUGGUUUAGAGGCAGUUCUGUUGCUACCAACUUCUUUGUUUGUAGUUUAAUAGAUUUACAUGUUCUAGUGGAUCUAAAGUAGGUUUGUGUUCAGCAACAGAAAGAGGUGAGGUUCUGCUUUCUUACCCGAAAAUAUUGAUAAGGGGGAAGUCUCGAAAGGCAUACGAGUGCGCCUUUCGUAGACGAAUACCGACUCAGUCCGCUCCUGCUGCGCGGGAGUAUCAGCCGGCCGGUGUCGGGUCGGCCCCUAGGGCACUAUUCGCCUUGGGAGUGGUUCAGCCAUCAAGCUACUUUUUGAGGUAGGGGACCAGACUGGUGACUGCUGCAGUUGUUGUCUGCAGGGUAUGUGACACCCCACAAGUUGAGUAGUGCUGAGCCAGGUCUCGUCGAGCCUGUUGAACGGUUCAAGUAGAAGUAAAUAAGUAAAAAGUGGAAACCCUCCAUAUCAAUCCAUCUCCAUAGGAGACAAUAUGAGCAAAAGACAGGAAUCCCUUAAUCCCGCGGAAAAGAACUCACUCCGGGGGGAGUGAGGGAGAUAUUCAAAAAGAGAAAACUGCCUUUACGCCGACAGAGGAUUCUCUAACCGCGGAUAAGGCGAAAACACUUGCAUUCGAUGCAUCAAUGAAUGUGCUUGCGGCCUCUUCUCUGCUCGAUGCCUAUUCUGUUCCUUCUGUGGCAUUUGUCACCUAUUCUGAUUCCCUUGCGGAAGCCCUUUUUUCAACUUUCUUUCAGCUCGUCAAAGGACCAUCCUUGGGCAUUAAAACUUACAAGGCGGAUACACACCCUGGCUUCCUUCCUCCACAGAACACUUACUACCGUGGCCUGGGAUAAAAACCAUUUUCUUAUCUUCUUUCCUCGGUAUUUACCGCUGCGCCCCUAUGCUAUCAAGAAGAAGGAAUUUCGGGACGGGAAGGACCUGGAAUGUCGGGAUGCCUAAGAUAAGAAUAGAAAUAGCGAUAUGCCGAUUUGCUGCUGUUAAAAAGCUAGGCACCUCUGUAUUCUUAUUGCCAAUCUCUCUUAGCUCCCGAACAGCCUAUUCGAUUUCUGUGCUUAAGCUUGCUCUCACUUAUUCUUGGCUUGGAUCUAGAUAAUAGAUGUGGCAAGUCAAAGAGCUGAGUUGUCGAAAACACUAGCAGCUCCUUCCCCAACUUUUGCAAAUGAACCCCGUUCAAGCGCUACAAAAAUUAUCACCGUUUACGCCGCAACAUGUCCGAUUGCGAGAGAGAGAAAAGGGAUUAGAAAAGAGCCCGGCUAUGCGAAAUAGACAAAAAGGGAAGUUGGGCCAGUAAUCCCCUAACCGGGUAUGAACUCCUCCCUUCUACGCUCCGUGGGUCCUUUAUUACCUAAUUCCCUUAAAGACGGAAUUGCUCUUAGUCUUUAUCCAAGAGAUGUCCCUGAGACUAAAUAAGGAAAUUGUCUCUUUGCUUAAGCACGAGAUUCGACAGGUGACCAAGGAACCAAGAUUCACGUAGAAAGACUGGCACUAUUACAGGAGCGCUUAUGAAAUCUAUCUUUUCUAUUUCAUAAUGUAAGACUUUAGGCACUCUAGACCUUAUAAGCCUUUAUACGUUAUACGUAAACCCGGAGAAGACUUGCUUUUCCUCGAAAGCAACCUAUAACCAGCUUUAUUAAAAUCCCUUUGCCUAAGAUGAGCCUACUCGCCUAAAGGAUGCAAGGGAACUUGCUCGGAGAGAAGGCAUAUUAGCGUAUUCCCCCUAUUCAAAAUCCCUAUUACAAGACUUAUACUUUUCUUAUUAAAGCCAUAUGAGAGCCUAUGGAUCAUACCUAUUUUUUCUAUCGAUAUAGAAAGUAUCUUAUUCGCUCGCCAUGGAAGCACUUAAGUAAGAUAGGAAUGAAAGAAAGAACGAAAGCAGCUAUAACUGCAUCCAAGGAAAUUGGAAAUAUGAUAAGGUGUUACCAAUUACUGAGACAGGCUUCCAGGUCGAAGCAAAGGCAACUCUCUCUCGAUUAAGGAAAGACGAAGAAGUGUCAAUGGCUGCGAGGAAACCCACUGUAAAAGUCACUGCAACUGGCUCAGGAAUAGCAUAGCUGGCAGAAGAAAUUGAAAUAGAUGUCAAAAACUAGAUCCCUCUUCACUGCCAAUGGAACUAUAAAAAUGGAAGGCAUUAUCAAUGGAGGGUCCUGAGUAAUUAACUACCCGACCUUACACAGUACCCUAGCUUGGGAAAGAUUAUGAACGGGAAACUCAGGAUAGACAGACUAGCCUUAUUAAGUUAAGCAACCCCAGCAAAGGGAAGAGAAAAUAUGCUAAUAGGUACAGCUAUCUAAUUGUAUAAGGCUAACUUUCUGUAUAUGCUUAGGUAAGAAGAAAACUAUAUCAUAUCCUACAAACUCACCCUUUAUUGUAUGUAAUAUAAGCAAGCUCAAGGCUAAGAGAUUAGCUAUUGGAAGGCUCUAUGGCUAGCAAGUUUGAAAGCAGAAAAGGUCAAUCAAGCACUGUAGUACAAUCCAGCUGGAGUAGUGCAAGGCUAAAUUGUUUUUGUAUAUGCAAGGGCGGCAAGCAGAAAAUACAAAUUUCUUUCUCUUAAGGAAGACUCCGGGUUUGCAGGACCUCUAUCAUAUUCUUUAUUCUCUUUCUCUAUACCAUAUGCUUUUUUUCCGGGCAAGCAAGUAGUGAUUUUAGGCAAGUAAGCCCCUAAAAUAUAUAUAAGUGCUAGUUUACAGCCUUUACUUUCUCCCUUACUAGCUUUGAGUUGGAGUUUCUUUCGAUCGAUGUCGGUGCAGGCCAAAUUUCCAUCCUUUUUAAUUCGAAUUAUGCCUUCGAGUCAGUUAGAAAGUAGAAAGCAAUCCGCUAAAAAGUGAAAAGCCAUCAGGAUCAAGAAGAGCGGCGGGAUAGGGAUAGACCUUAUGAAUUUGAUAUUUUCCGUCUAUCCCGUGGGAGCCUUUGUAGGAGUAACCUUUCCUUCAGUCCCUUUAAAAAAAGCAAUUAAGUUGUCAACUUUCCAUCCAGUUCCCUUGGCGUGCUAAUCCCCUGCAGUUUUUAAGUCUUCCUUCCAAAGCAAUCUAUAGGUCUUCUCCAGCAGUAUAAGUACCAGCAUUCGUAUCUGUAGUUGAUAGUUUAAUUCCCCCUUUUGCAGAAGGCGCUAGGUCAAAGGCGGCUAGGGCGGAAUAUGUUUUUUCUAGAGCGGAAUAGGGCCUUUCAUAAAGCAAGCAGUAUAUGGGAUUUCUAGGGAUGAAAUGACGCGUAAGACUUUGAUAGGGAGAUUAGGAAAACUAUAAAUUAAGUUCUCAAGUGAGUGGGCAAUUCUGUGAGCAAACUUGUCUAGAAGUCUCUUUCACCUUUCUGUAAGUGAUUUAAUGUAGGGGAGGGUUGUGAGAGAGUUUCCGGAAAAGCUUUUCUUUGAGGAAGAAGAUCUCCUUUCUUUUUCUGUUUUGGGGAGGGCUAGUCUUGUCAUAAGGGCAUCCAGGUCUCUUCCUGCCAGCGGGAGUUCUCUUGCAUCCCCUACAUCUACUUCCAUACCUUCUACUUGGAAUCUAGUUUCAGUACCAUAUGGGUCAAGGUCGGAUCGGGCAGGCUAAGGCUAGGUUAAAAGCUUAGGGCUGGGGCUUUAGCGAGGAAGGUAGUCUUAUUCUUCCUCGUCAAAUUUCUUUCUCUGGGCUGGGCUAACGCUAACGAUAAGAGAUUCCCGGAUAGGUCUACAGAAAGAUAUCCUUUUUUCUUUCCCUGUAUGUGGGGCUAUCCUGGUGGGCUGGAUAGAUCUCUUUACUCUUUCCUAUAUUCCUAUAGUAUAGGGAUAGGGAGGGAGGAAGACUUUUGAAUAGGCUUUUUUCCUCUUGAAAGAGCUAGUGAGUUCCGGUCGGUUUGAGUGCUCUUGGAUGGGGUUCUCUGCUAUCCAGAGGAGGGCUAGGGGUUUCCAAUUCUAAGCUAAGCUCCUGCCAUGGUUUUUGGAGAACAAAGCUAAACCCUUAUAGUUGGCGUGCUAAGAGCAGCUUAUUGAAGUGCUAGUUUCGAUCUAGCUCCAGUGGGAGUUGCUCAACCAUUUCCAGAUGAGUUCGUUUUCUGCUUGUCUCUCUCAAUGUGUGUCUGCGAAGGCAAAGGCAAGGGGAGUUUUCCGAGUAAUAAAGGAGUAAGCCAGCCAGUCCUUCUCUUUCCUUGCGAGCCAAUCUUUGCCCUCUUUUUUGCUAAACCAGUUCCAGUCUUUUCACCUUCUGCCUUUGCUGCUGGUGAAGGUAGUGGUGGGGAUUUUUUUCUAUGGUAGGGCGGCUAUAUAGAAUAGAUCUUGGUUGACACUAGGAUAGCUCUUCUUGUCGCUUCUUUCUCUUUUCGUUUCUGCGAGCCAUUUCGAGUCCUUAAAAAAGCCCAACUGCAGAAUCCAUAUUUAUGUUGUCGAUGUUUUGACUUCUUUCCAAGCCGAGUCAACAGGCCUAAACUCUUUCUUUCCUAAGGCAGGAAGGAAAGUCUUGAUCAAAUGGGCAAGGCAGGAUAUCAGCAGUUCCAUUGCCAGUUGGAGUUUUAGUGGAAAUUACUCUUUCUUACCUUACGAAAUCAGCUUUCAAUCCAGCAGGAAUAGCAGGUUACAGGGCAAUCUCUCCUGUGAGCAAACAAAGAAUUGAGAAUCUAUUACAUCUUACUUGUGCCUGUUAGCAUCUUAGUGGCUAGCUUCAGCUUUCUUAUCUGUACUGGACUAUUUUGAAUUAGCAUCUUUAUAGUUUCAUCCGAUUCCAGAUGGAGUUGGAGUCCUUCCUGCUAGUGCUUUGCCUUCCAUUUACAGGGUUGGAGUACUAUUAGUUGCCUAUGGAUAAGUAGUCUUUGUUGCCUAUUCAAUCGCAGAAUAAAGAGAAGCCUAUACAGUAGUAUAUGUGUACCUUACAUAUCCUGCAAUUCCUUAUGCCUUCGAUCGAGUUGGAGUUUCAUGCCUCACAUACAGUGCUAGUUUCCUAUAAGGCAUUGGGAGUUCUCUCUCUGAAUCCAGUGGCAGUUCUUCCUGGAAUGAAAGCUUUGACCUUUUUGGAGUCCCCUAUAUAAGGAGGCAGGCCAGCAAGACAGUUAGAGAUGAGAUGUCAAGACAGCCAGUGGAAAGAUUUUCACCUUAUCCAGUACCAGUUGCAGAACCUUCCCCUUUUUCCGGGGUUUGAAUUCCAGUUUGAGUGGAAGGUGGGUUAUCUAUUCUCGUCGUUUUUCUUGCUUCUACCUAUCCCUUACGAUCCCACUUUCUUUCCCUAUUUUACUGUACCGUAAGAAAGUCUAAGGGUGUAAGCCCCUAAGGCAGUCCUAAUAGACUAUCUUACCAGGCCAAUCCUAAUUGAAUGCACCAGUGCCUUCUUAUCCAAGCGAGCCAAUAAGAGAUUUUUCUUUUGCAGGACAUCAGACUAGAAAGCAGUUUUUUAUACACGAGAGCAGUAGGCUAUCUGGACUGUCCCAUUAGAAAGAAAGCCAGCGGAAAAAGUUGAAAGCAUUAUCUUACUUAAGUAAGUGAGAUAAAAGGGAAAGGAAAGAAAGAGACUUGACUUUGGUAAUAAAGUGGGCAAUAAGGAAGUCAAAUAGACGGGGUUAUAAAUCAAAAGUGGGUUUCUCGGUCUAUCAGUUUAAAGCUUGAAGGCAGUAGUUAUAUUAUAGCUAAAUCUUUCUAUGUCGAUCUAGGUGAGCGAAGACGGUCUUCUCUGCCAGUUAUCUUGCAGCAAGUAGCAAGUUGGUUCAGUGCGAAUUCCUUUCUUUCUUUUUAAUUUCUCCCCUCCUGGGGCUUACUUCCCCUUUAUGGAAGGAGGAGACAGAUAGAUUAGAGCGGGUGAGACAAUGUCCCUUACCACAAUAAAGGAUCCGGACUGCGCAGACACCUCUUCACGUACCUCCGCUGCUUACCCAAUGCCUUACUUAUACCACAAUAGAACUCAAGGCAAUAAGGCAAGAAGAAAAUUCACUUCAUGAGUUACAAAAGAUCAAAUCAAGCCUACGACUUAAAGAAACUAUCGGGAAUGGGAACACAACCACAUAAGCCACUUCCCAGACUGCCAAUCCUUACAACAAGAAUGAAAAUUGUAAAUUGAAAAGGCUCUUCCCACACCCACGGCAGCUCAUCCAGGGAAGAAAGAAAAGUCAGCACUUGCUUCUUUUUCUGGUACAACAACUAAAGCAAGAAUCAAAUGUUUUAGAGCCUUCUUGACACACAAGAGUGAGUCACUUCAUUCGGAAAAGAAGAAAUAAGGAGGGAAAGCUGUUUUCUAACCAAAGUCAAAGCAAAUGCCCCAACAUAAAGGCUAGGGGAUGGUCCGAUACCUCUUAACUCGAAAUCGAAUAUUCAAGAGACAAAGACAAUAAAGUAAAGGAUCGUGAAGCGAACCAUCAAUUAUGAGAGGAACUUCACUCGCUAAGAGAAAAAAGAUAAAUGAUAGAGGAUAGACAGAAAGAGAAGGAAUAGCGGGCAAAGAGAUGUCCCGAUUCCAAUGCUUAACGAAUGGACCAAUCCAAGACUUUUUCUGCUACCAGAAUCGACAGCUGCUCUUACCUUACUAGCACAAUACCGAAAUGGCUCUUAGCCGACUAAAGGCUACAAGACUGCUUCUACACCUACAACCCUCGCUCUCAGAGAAAGACAGAACGGACAAGAACGACUUUGAUUUUAAUCCUCAAGCUACAGAUAGGCUACUGGGGCUUCCACGCGGGUAGAGCUAGAAAGAAUAACAUAAGAAAAGACCCUUUCUAAUUGCCAUCACUGAAAAGCAGUACAAGUAAUACACGAACACACUAAAAGGAGAAAAAGACCGAGACUAGGGGAAUUUCGCAAGGGAUGCACCCACAAAGAAAGCAUAGGCGAGUAGUCACUUCACUCAAUACAAAGGAUAACUUGAAAACAUAGAGGAAUUUCUACAAAUUAGGAAAGGCCUUCCAAUCCUAGCUUCUGAAAGAAGAGAAAAGAUCAGACCUGCAACCCCAUCACAGACAGCGAAGACUUCGAAUGAUAGACCGACGGAAGUGACCCAUAACUAAUGGUGCACUUCGCUCGUCAAGCAAGAGAAAUGAAAAUAAGCCCUUGACGCGUGAGAGUUGUUAAAAAGCAGCAAAGACAAAGGCAUUGCACCUCACUAAGAGGCUACCGAAAGGGUCCUACUUCUCGCAUUGACUCCAUCGACAGAAAGAACUCAAGGACUCGAUACGGGAAUCCGAAGAAAAAAGGAAAUGGGACUAUCCCCGAUUCACUCGAUCUGAUGCCCUUAGGCCGAUUCUCACUUCUUCAACAAAAAAAUAAAAUAAGUACUUUCGCCGAGCUCUUAUACUCAAGGAAGAAGAAAAUGGUUUGACAUCGCUCCUGCAAGACAAAGACUUAAUAAAGAAGCGGCGGAGAAAGAAAGAAGAAAGAUAAAUAAAAAUCCGCACUUUCUGCAGCAUGAGUUUAAAAGGCUAAAGUAAAAGGAAAGGGCCCUGACACCACCCACUUAUUACACUUCAAAUCCUCAAGGGAAAGAUAAAUCAUCAGAGACUGCGCUCACCGAAGAAAGACGCAGACACAUUCACCACUCAAGGAGCCCCAAGCAGUGAGAAAAUGAUUAGGGAAAGCAGUGAAGAAGGAUCAAGAAAAAAGGAGUGAAACUGACUUCGAUCGCCGGAAGGCUUGUUAGGAAUGCUAGCCAACUCGCUCAGUAAGAACAAGCCCUCGCCCGACAGUCUUUCACUCUUGGAUAGCUAUAGCUACGGGGCUUUUAUGGCUUGAACGGAAAUAAAUCCAUUAGAGGAAAACAACUUCUUUUUGAAAACAGACUGACUUAGUUCAACAAAAGGUCUUUACCAACGCAACGAAAAGAGCUUUUUCCACCAGUCUUUUAGGCCGGGCAUCCUCUUUCUAUCCAUUUCAUUUCAGGAAGAGGAAGAAAGGCGAAGUUCUUCCAUCCAGCAAGGAAGACUAGCCAAGUCGUACACCCCAUUCUUCAACCCCCCCCUUUUUUUGCCAUUGUCACUACUGGUACCUGACCCCGUCGGCUCAACAUUUUUGCAAACACCGACCCUUACUCAAUAGGGCAAUGAAAAGAGGAGAACGAGGACAGCUGACUACCACUAAAAGUCAGACUACGAGUACACAUUGUAUGAUUGAAAACUGCCGCUGCGUACUAUCCGGUGCUUGCAGGUCUGACUGGAGCCUUCUCUCCAACAGUUGCUUCAAUCAAUGUUAAGUUAAGUAUGACUAAAAGGCUUCUUAUCCCGCAGCUGACUACUUUUUGAAAGACCGAACAGGAAAUGAAAAGUCGUACUACAACAACUGUAAACAUUCCCCCCCCCGCUCUGACUCUGAUCGACUUGCCCACACAGCGCCUUCUUUGAGAGAAGAGGUCAAGGGGCUAUGAGACUCGUACAUCCAAAGACGAUUCGAGAGAAGACGAUUCAAUCUGUUGACUUCACUCCGCUUACGCCCCCUUCAAACAUACUUUUUUCGAUUUAUAAAAGACAUAUAAUAGAACAUAAAAAUCAGCGAAUGUAGGAUAUCUUGCCCAUGAGACUCAUUAGUUGUGUUCGCUGCUUAAGGCAUUCCCUUUACUUGCUUCUCAGAACGAUGGUUGCAUUCUAGAAGCGGUAGUCCCCCGAAGUUACAUAUUAAUAAAGGAAAUGUCUAUCUAUCUCUGAGAUGUCUAUUUCUCAAUGAUACCGACUCCGUUGAAUUCACUCUUUCAUAUGGUGUUCCGGGGAGGAGCUUACUUUUACUUUGCUGAUUUACCUCUCCUCUGUUCAUUUAGCACAUCCAUUUUUCUUUUGUUAGAUUUUCAUGUCCUAUUAUCAUAGAAUGACGCCAUUUCCCCUCUCUGAAAUAGCGGAGCUCGCUUUAACAGACAACGACUUUAAAAAAUGGAAAAUUUAAAUAAAAGGAGGAACAGGUCGUUCGUUGCGAGAAUAGCGGUUGCUCCCUGUUGACACUGGGUCAGUUGAUUGGCAAGCCGACUGAUAGGGCCACGAAGCGCCCAACAGAAAGGGAAGAUCAUUGGGAAGAAAUGGGGGCCGUUGACCAAGUCGAUGGCUUUGUUAAAAGGUUUUUCCUGGAUAACUUCAGUCUGCUGGUACGUAGGGGAGUCCGGUAAAGGGCUAAGGAGCAAGGGGCACUCUCAUUCUAACCUUUGCAUGGCGCCACCAUAAAGCGAUAGCGAGACCUGAGUCGAACUAGGGCAUUUGUACUGGUCGUGCUAGGUUGAGCCGGGGUUGGUAAGGAAAAUGAAUCCGGACCAAUCACACGUAGGAAAUAGUCCGGCAGUACUCUCACCUUCUGCUCCACCACGGUGGGGUCUUUUUUUUCUUCGGGAAAAGGAUCUUUGAUGCCAAGAUCUUCUAGGGGACGCAGCUACCUAUAGUAAGUAGGAAAGAACGUCUUUUUGUCCUUGCCUGCAAACUUAUCAUUUGACGAAAUAGCGUAAAUAAAGUCCUCCGCCUACACUACUGGCAGGAAAGAAGGGCGAACAAAGGGACUCAAAAAGAUAGGUUAGCGACCGGGCGAAAGGUUGGAAUUGAUUUCGAAGUUGGGGUCCUAUUCCCAUACUUUUUUGAUGGAAAAAGCGGUCUUCCUCGCUUGCUCCAAUGCUUGGCUUGGUGAAUCAGUCAAUGGCAACUUUCUAGCGAUCUCAGAAGCACAAGGAAGCAGAGGAAAGAAGGCCCGCCAGAAGGGGGGGUCCCCAACCCCGGAACGAUGUAUGAAAGAGACUCUAGAAAGCUAUCGAAGUGGACAAGAGAGUGCUGCUUCUUAUGACAAAGCCCUUGCUGCAGUGUGAAAGAGUGGCGGGGAAUGGCUGGGCUCAGGAGUCAAGUCAACAUAGUGUGGAAAGUGGGGUCGACCUUCUAGUGCCUUGUAGGGAAAGAGAGGUUCUCUAGGCAGAUAGAGAAGGAAUUCCAAUAGAGAAGAAAGAAUGUUGAAAUGAGAGUUGCAUUUAGUAGCGGCGGCGCCUCAUUCAAAUGAGACUUGGAAAGCGAGAUAGGGUCUAACUGGGAGGCAGGAAGAAGACUACACGAGUGGUUCGGGAAGGAAUCUCUUUGACUGUCUGGUGCCAUAGCUUCGACUCCACCCCAGUAAUAGGAGGGAGCGGAGCCGCUACUUCACUCUCUUUUCAGGGGGAUCGGGAUGAGGCAAAAGGGGGCUUUAUUCACGUCCUCUGGGUCGUCCACUAAGUGAGUGAAAGAGGUCUCAUUGGGAGAAUUGGGAAGAGAGAAGGCCAGCCUCCCACUAUGUGAUGUGAAAGCUUUUUCUCUCAUAUUCACUUCUCAAGAAUAUAUAUAAUAGGUAGUUCGCUUAGCCGCAGCUGAAGCCAUAGAUCUUGCCCGGGAUGCUCCCAAGGUUCAUCGGUCGGACUCCUCAUUGGAAAAAGAAUGGCAAAAGGGUGGUCUACGAUCAGGGCUUUCUUUAAAAAGGGGGGGGGAAGGACCAUUUUGACUGGAGCCAUGGACCCAAAGUGAGUCUUUUUGCUCUUUCUUCAAGGCAUCUAGCUACGGCGGAAUCUUUCACUGCAGCACCUGUGCUAUAGACCGGCUUAGAUCUCGACCUCGGUCGAAUGGUUCUCACUUUGGCUACGUCAGAGAGAAGAGGUCCUUACCUCAUUCGCUAUUUCGAUUUUGCCAGUCCUUGGGAACAGCGUAGCGACGGAUAAUUAAAAAGAAGAAUAGAUCCAGUCCAGGGGACAAAUCAAUAGGAAAUGCUAUUUGCUUUGUAAGAAUAAGAAUUCACUUCUAUGAAAUGAAAAAGUUUCACGGGAAUUGUCUUGAUCGUCGGAUAUCAUUGAGAAAUAGGAAGAAUCGAACGAUUUCCUGCAAUUCUUCCCAGUAUGGAAUGACUAAAGAAUCAAGCUACAAGUCUCGAUCUAUACAAAACGCACUGGAUUUUUGCUUUCGGUUUCAUUGAUAGCAGAAGACCCUUACUCUAUAGGGGUGCUAGCGCUUUACUAAUUGAAUAUCAAGUAAAGGGGCCUGAAAAACGUAAUAGGCUGCUACUCUAGGCUCGCUUCGCUUCUUCAAGCUCCGCCCCUUAUUGAAAAUGAAAGCGCUAACGCGCCUUAUAUUAUUUAGUAAAGCAACCUUUCGCGCUAGGCGCUCAUGUUUUUUGUCUGGGUGGAAGCUGGCGGCAGGGCUUGCUUAACCGGAUACACGGAAUUGGGAUCUCCUCGCAUGCAACUAUUUCUAUCGGGAAAGCCUCGCUUAUUCAAAGGGCUGAUUUUUUUUAACCCUUUUUGCUCAUAAGUAAGUAAGCGUUGGUAGGAGCGGCGGGAUGAUAUUUAGUAUAUAAAAAAAGAAAAACCAAAAAGAAGAAAUGGCAAGAUAAAUUGGAUAUCGAUGGAGGAAAUAACGAUGUGGAAAACAGGGCAGAGAUUCUCUACAAUGACACCGUAGACCAAUUGAAAGGGAUGUGGCGCAGCUUGGUAGCGUCUUUGUUUUGGAUUGGAUACAAAAUGUCACGGGUUCCAAUCUUGUCAUCCCUACCUUCUCCUCUGGGCAGUAACGAAGGUUAAGAUCGAUUCAAGACAUGACAAAUUUUGAAUUUAAUGAUACUAGAUGCAUGCAAGAUGUAGUGAAGGUACAAAAAUCAUCCUUUUCUUUACAAUUGUAUCUACUGUGAUAAGAAAGCGCUCUUAGUUCAGUUCGGUAGAACGUGGGUCUCCAAAACCCGAUGUCGUAGGUUCAAAUCCUACAGAGCGUGAUUACGAAUCAACAGACCCCAUUACCGAGAUAUGGGAACUCAAAUAAAUAAAAUAAAAAAAUUGUAUCGAAUCCAUUUUCUAUUUUGGAACGAACAACAACCAACUAACACUUUGACUUUACUUUAACUUAUUAGAUUCAGUAGUAGGUUUAUUAAUUGCACAUAAUAUCUCGAAUAAGAAGAAAAAAAGUAUCGCACGAUCGCUCGAAGAAAUCAAACCUUUAUUUUGGUCUAACUCGAUUCUAAGACUAGUAAUUCCUAUGUUCUUUUCCUUUUAGGUUCUACAUUUUUUCUUUCAAUAUUUUAGAGUCCCAUCCUUGUAGCUAGGUCAAGAAAAACCUUUGGAUCUAAUACAGCAAUGCUUGCAUCACGAAUAUUAAUUGUUCCAAUUAUUUUAUUGUUUGUUUUGUUUCUUUUAUCGAAGACUAUAUACUAUAAUACUUGUUAUUGUACGACCAACCAAUUCCUUAAAAUGAAAGGAUUCGAACAAAAAAACCUUUUCUACAACCACGAAAAGGGGCUUUAUAGAUUUCGCAUCUAAUUCUAUUUUGGGAAUAUGAAAAUCUCUUUCAUGAAUUAUUAGAACCCAACUCGUCGGACUCACACUUUACCAAAUCUUCAGUUUCUAGUCUGAAGCCAGUAAUGGAAAGAAACCCUAUACUACAGGAGAGGCAUUUUCCUAUUGAAUGGCACAUGGUUCUGCAUUAACAUAACAAGCAAAAAAAAAAAAAGAAAUAUUGUAUCACUUCUUUUCUAUACUGAUUGAAAUUGCGUUACUGGGUCAAAAGAAGGAUAGCUAUACUGAUUCGGUACACUCUAAAGACACCCUCGGUACCACUAUUGAAGAUCUCACAAAGAUUAAAUCUCAGUGAAUUUCCAUUUACUGAUCCUAUCUUUCACAGAAUCAAUCCCCCCUUUUACUGUACAUGAAUAUGUGGAGCUCAGCAUGUCUGGAAGCACGGGAGAACGUUCUUUUGCGGAUAUUUUUACCAGUAUUCGAGACUGGGUCAUUCAUAGCAAACCUAUACCUUCCCUAUUUACUCAACGAAUUAAGGGGGUUAGUUAUUCGUCAGCACGGGUUUAGCUUCCUCUUCUGGUAUAGGUUUGGGAGCCCUCGGCCAAACGAGUAUUCUAAAAAAAGCCGACAAGGAAUUCCAUUAAUAGCUGGCCGUUUUGCUCCUUUGGCACAACUCGAUUCAUUUAGUAGAUUUUUUUUUUUAGGCUUUAUAGACCGGUCCUGAGGUCUUAUCCGGUGAGUUAGUCUGUCCUUCGUUUGUUGUACUUGGAGUUAGCUUCUUUCCAUGGGUCUUACCUUAGGUAGACUUAUCUAAACAAAUACAUGCAUGGCAGUUAAACAAGAGCUAAGAGUGAGAUUCCUUCAGUUGCGUACUCGAGAGUAUUAGUGACAUAACGGCUCACAAUAGAAUUUCUAGUUUAAAAGACCGAAGGCUAACAACAACUUCUUAUUGGACUUGACCUACGGACUAUGAAAACUUUCUCUUUUACGCGAUCGGAAGACUCUAUCCCGGUCACACAGUGCAGUUACCGCUGUCUGACCAUCUGUUAUUUGUAAACAUUCCAUCUUUGCCGGCGGAUACGACUAAAUGAAGUGGUCAUGUAACGGAUGUCAUUGGGUGCUCCUACCCGGCUUCCUACCUCAUGUCGAUUUCUUCCGCCAAACCGGUAGGUAGCAGUCGACAUUCGGCUUCUAGUUUAGAACACGCACGAUUAACAUAUGGUUGACAGAUCCGCCCGUGAAAGCGCAAAGUCAAUUCAAGAGAAUGACCAAAUUCUAACCUCAACCAAAUAUCUUCAUAGGAAAGGCAAUAUCUGUAAAGAAAACACUAAGAACACUGUGCUUUCGUGUUAUAUUCACGAACGACCUUUCGGUUCGCCAUAAAAGGAAAAGGAUACCCAUAUGAACCUACCAUUAAUGACUAGUUCGAAGAAGAGGAGUUUGUUUGAUCUCUUAUUUGAUUAGACAGACCCACUCUUAGAAGAAAGUCGGAUAAUUCUUUACCUACACUUGCGGAACACUUACUUAUUCAAGAGCUGCUCGAAAGUAAGAUUCUCGCUUCGUGCUAUUCCGCCAUCUCCGCUUCUUGGAAGACCACCGCCCUUCUUCUUACUUACGAUACGGUUGGUCUGACUAAGCCCAUUUGCUUAAUGAAGGCCGAGAUGAGCUUUCCAGAGUAAGACAGCGUGCUUCACUCCUACGUUAGGAUGCUAUACCCAUAGCCUCCUACGCUUCUCUUCACUACGUUUUUUCUUCUUUCCCGCCUAUCGAGGCACCGGGAAGAAUGGACCACCAAUGAAUCCUGCUUCCUUAUCUUCUUAUUCCCCCAUUCCGUGGAUUGGUUCCAACAUCAAGACCGGUGGAGGAGAACUCAAGUCAAUGCGCUUACCAACUCCUUAUCGACCUUCAAAUCUCUUAUCUAGACAGGAUAAGAGCAAAUGAACCCCCCCUAUUGUCUAUUCCUACUCCUGGCUCACUGCCGGUGGGCAUUAACUAGACCUGUUCUCUAAGCUAUCUAUUGGUGCUCUCGGCAUAGGAAGUAUCGCCGGUUGAUCCAGCACCUUGCUAAGUAUCCAAAAAAGUUCCAUAGCCAUAGCCUUUUGUAGUUCCAGCUGAUCCAGUCGUUGAUCCUGCAGCUUAUCAAAAUAAGCACCAGCAGACAGAGGUAGAUACAGAGCCAUAGGCAAACCUUCAUGAUCGAUAGCCUUAUGAAUUGAAUACGACCCUCGUGCUCGAGAGGCAGAUCCAAAGCCAGUAGCUUAGCUAGGAGCAUACUUCGGUGUAGCAUAUAUAGCGGCAUACCCCUUUAACCUAGGUGGAAAAGAGAUCUAUUGAUACCCACCAUCAGUUUACCCAGAAGCCCACGGAGCGGUGAAGGGAACAGGAUUUAUCUCUCCGAAGAAAAGCGUUCCUUCAUUCGUCCCUGCGGGCGAACUGAUCCAGUUGAAACGUAAACUACAUUUCUACCCCAUCCCUAACAACCAACCUUGAUGCAGCAUCUAGGUAGUUCUCAUCAGGAACCAUUGUAACGAAGUAGGUAGACCAUUUAGCAUGUGUCCUCUCAAUGCCUGCUGUUAUUAUUUCUCCACCGUCUUCCCGCGUCGAAAAAUCGGUUUUGUAUUGUAUUAUGUACGAUUGUAGAAUCAUUCUUUGGAAAAAUCAUAUGAACUAUCUUCCCCGCCGCCCGCCGCCCAGACUAAGAUUCUUUCCUAUCGCGCUAUGGGCUUUGAUGCUUACGCGCGCCUUAGCACGCGAAAUAUUGCCUUCCUAACUAAGCUAAGCGGAGCUCUUGCCCUGUCAUAUUGUUCGGUCCUCCCUUCUCUAACACUGCGCUAAUAAAGCACGGGGCUAUUAAGAUGUAGAAUAUGUCCCCUACACUCUUUCAAUCUCUUAAGAUUUGGAAUCUCAGCCAUACUCCCCAUCCUCCAUUGAAUUUGGUCUAUCUUUUGAUUCUGGUCAUUUUUUCUCCAUCAUACAAGAGCCGUGCCACUUUCACCUGUAGUUGCAGCAGCCGUUUUGCUUUAUUUUACGGAAGAAGGAGCGAAAGCCACUCGACUGUAAGGAGAGGAGCGAAAAGCCGCUUUUUCAAGCUUCCCAUUUGCUGAUCAAGUGAGUGAGGUCGAAAGACUUCCCAGGUCGGGGGGUUUAUCUGGACAUCUAAUCCAUGCAGGUAUGCCAAAUGACUUUCUCUUUAUAACGAGGAAGGGAAAUGGAAUUUUUAGGAAGAAACCUCUGUGAUGUGGUAUAAGAUGGCCAAUUGCAUUAAAAGAGUGGCUAAAGAUGUUUUUGGAGAAUCUAAGGGUUAAAAUCACUCACAUAAAGAAAGUUGGUGGUGGAACCAACCAAGAUGUAUGUCGUCCGACCCAACCUCAGACUCUUUCUUCCCGACCUAUUUGACUUUUUGGCCGCAGUUAUUUAGGUGGUAUCCCGAGAUUGAAGAGAUCGAAUUCCUCCCGGGAACACACGAAACAAAGAUAUGAACUAGGUAAAUAGAAAUGGAAAAGAGAUGUUUCGAAUUCAUCAAAAUCAGAAGCUUUUUUUACAUCCAUAUGAUCUACUAAAGUAGAUCGGUAUUGCCCAUAUAAUGAAAGCAGAUCUUGGUCCAUGGAGUCCCAAGAAGGUAAGAACUCCAACCUGUCCGAUGCUUCUUCGGCCAAAUACAAUAUACAAGUGGGACCUGCACUAUGAGCAAGCUGUGCGAAAAACCGCUUCUUUUUUCCGGUUCCGCAACAACUUGGGCGAAAUGGGGUUCUACCGGGAAACCAUGGAUUUUUUAGUUUUCGCCAUUGGUUACUGGUCGAGCCACUGGAAUGGAAUAAGAUAAGAAUCUCUGGGGAUCUUUCCUCUCCACUUACUCGAUACAGGCUUUCCUUCUGUAGAAGACUUCUGCCGAAUGGCAUAAUUGUCCGAUUUUUUCCUCGAUCUUCAAAGAAGACUGACUCCUCCUACUCCUCCUUCUCCUUCGUAACCUUCAUCGUCGUUGGUCCUUCUUUCACUAAUGAUCUAAUGAUCUCACCAUUUUCUAGUAGUUCGCGCGAACGCGCGAGGGACUAUCCUUUCUAUCGCUUGCGCUUGCUUUUCACUCUCAAGACAACGGUCUCUCUCUUCUAUAAAGCGAAGCAAAGCGCAUGGCGCUGAAGUGAAGAAAGCUCAAUAAACACACACGAACACGAUGCAGGGCAUAGCAUAAAUGAGACCGCUGAUCAUUUCAUAAAACAUAUAUGCUUGACCUUUCUCGAUGCUUUUUUUGGGGUGACUCACCAACCGACCCAGCAGUGAUCGAUGACAGAAUGAUACGAACAAAUCAAAGUUAUUGGAUUUGGUAGUUCUCCAUUAACUUCUUUCUUUACCCCUUUGCAUAUGUUCCUAAAUGGGUGUGCACCUCCAGAUGGGCAGGGGCCGGCCUCCCACUCUCUUAUGCAGCAUUUAUUAGCUUAGCUGAGUUGGGUGGAUCGUGCAAUAAGCCUCUCUCGACCCUCCCUUUCUCAUACGUCUUUAUCAAAGUCUCUCACCUUUCGAGAUCCGGUCCAUCAUCAACUCAGUCAGAUCUUCUUGUUUGCCUGCUUUGAUUAGGCUUCCUUUAACGGGUUUGAUCGGCAUUUCGUGCCUCUAGCCCUGCUGAAUUAGACCUUUUAUCAGCUGGUUGGGUAGCGUAGUAAGGUUAGAGGCGCAACUAGAAGAGUUGGCUCCAUAUUUAUAUAUAUUUUUUUUAUUUGAUUGCAGUCUCCGAAGUCCUUCUUGAUCGAUGGUCCCCAUUAGCAUUAGUGCCAAUUAGCAGCCGCUUUUUUUGGAAGGCGAGGUACUCAUGUGUGAUCGCGGAUUCCACGGUAGCAGUAGUUAUAGCUCUACAUUAGGAGCACGGGGCUCUAUCUAUCUAAAGGAGGUACGGACCCCUCCCGGUACGAUGCAGUUGAAAAACGUAAGCCCUUGUAUAGGUUGGGCUUACGUUUUCUUGCUUUUCUUUGUUGAACCUUCUACGGUCUACCUUCUUUCUCGAUAUCCCAAUUCUAGCGUUCGUUAGCAGAAGUAGAGAUAGGGGGAGAUAGGAUUUAUUAUAACAUUUAUGUGAAAAUAACAGAAGCCGCUAUAAGGGGAAGAAGCAAAUCCUGCACCUUCACCUGCGAAGCGCUACGCUCCUGCUUACGAAAGACUACUUUCCAAGCGAACUACUGAAGACAGACUACUGGGAGUGGGAAUAAAGCUCCAGCCCUUAGCCCUGAACUCCUUCAAUAUCGCACCUACUACCAAAGACUGAACCAAAGAAGGGAUGGGAUAGACAUAGCCAUCUCUCCCUCACCCCGCAGCUCAAACUCCGCAUCCUGAUCCAGAUCCAGCUACGGACUUACUAGAGCUACUACGCAUCCUAGAAUUGGGGGAAGGCGUCUAGACGCCUAAAAAAAGGCAUAUAAGACUGUAAGAAUCUUCCUAAAGUUAAAGUAGCAGGCAGAAGACAUGAAAGUCACUAAACAGCGCUUUAAAACUAGUCAAUGUGGGCAUAGAAACAAUAAAAGAAAAAGACCGAACCAGCAAGACUAAUGUCUACUUAUACUUUUGAGAGGUCCACUUAUACAUUCGAGAAAGUGGAAUGCAUUUCUUGAUAUCGCUAUCGAAAAAGAAGGGAUUAGCUUGAUUCAUGUGGACCAAUGCCCAUAGCCCGAGAACAAUUAAAAGAAAUCGAUGAAUGUGCCCGGACCAAGCAACAAAUAAGCGCUAGCAGAUGAGAUUGGACCUAUAGACUAGGCACCAAAGCAAGUAAACUACCUUCACGGGUAAGGAUCAUCUGUGCUAUGAGUUUCUCUUCCUCGAUAGUGGUCUAAGGAAAGAAAGUAUGAUCGAUGAUCUUCUGCUAAUGCUAGCGUCUUUUUCAUCUCUAAUUUCAUCUAUGCUUCAGGAAAAAGUUUAACCUACCCGCUAAUAAUUAAUAUAAUAAGAAAGGGCUGGCUGCUCUCCUUAAUUUCACAAAGAAUUGAGUGGUUUUUGUUCCUUGCCCUUAGUGAAGCGAGUGGCUUCUGCCCUCCAAUUUUGCAUUUGAGCGGCUUUCGCUUCUCUUCUUUGAAAUCUAGAUCUUCUCUUUCUGUGUCUAUCAAUCUUCCUGCCUCAAGACCCUGUUGUCUCUUGCGCUUGAUUGUUUGAUAGAGACCGACCUGCUUUCAUAAGCACUUGUUGGCAAGUUCGGAAGAAGGCUUUGAGGGGAACUAACUCGAUGUGGCUCCGGUUCAGUACUGCUUCUCGCUUAGAAUCUCUUCCAGCUGAGCUGCACUAACAGGCUUACGUAAAGUACAGAUAAUGUGAGUGACUACAUGCGAAAGCUUUUGCUUCUUCCUUUCCUUCUGCUGGCAAGUAGCUCUCCUUUUUUCCUGUAGUUCAGGAUUCCCUCUCUAUGCAUCUAUUUAGUCAAAAGGAUAGUUCAAUCGCUCUGAGGAAGUACUCUAACUUGAAUCAGUAUCUCAAAUAGGGCGAUAUCAGGCCUUCUGUGCGAUAUCGAUCUUCUGUUUAUGGUAAGCGGUCUGCCUUUCCCCCUUACUAGAUCAAAUAGGGAAAUCAAAAAGUACAGGAAAGGAAAGACAACUAUUGAGUAUGCCCCUAAUAGAGUAAGUAGGGAAUGAACCAUUCGGAAAGAAGUACAGCUAAUAGUACGGUAAACAGGAGCAAGACGGUAUGCAAUCAAUUAAAGGAUAGAAUACAGGAUGUAAAUUUUGAGUCUAUCUGUCCGUUGCUUCUUCAUUCCUGGCUGGCAAGCUCAGUUCUGUUCUAAUCACUUCGAUUCCCGUACACGAGUACCUUCCUUCAAAUAGAUAUAUUCCCUUUCUUAAUAUGGAUAGUACUUCUGUAAGCGAAUCCCUUCUUUUUUGGCUUGCUUCUUAAGCCAUAGUCCUGUGCCUGGUAAGUGCAAUCAGUCUGUCCCUUACCUGUCCAUUCAAGCCUUUCAAUAUCUCGUCUGGCCCUGUCUUCUGUCGUACUCUCCUCUAUCGAGAAUGGGUCUCUCGCCACUGUCCUGUGGAAAACGGAUGCCGCUCUUCUGGUAGCCGUUGUUUGCUUCAUCGGUUUCAGUAUCCUUUGCUUGGUCAAUUUAUUCCCGCUUUACUGACCUUGAUUACUUGACUAACUAAUAAGGCGCUCGUUUUUCUUAUUAGCACGAUAGGUGGGUAAUCCCUUCUGUUAUGAGUGAAUCUCGUAGGCUUUUUUCUUUCGUAGGCCUAUUUUCUGUAAGCGGAAGUCCUGUUAAAGCGCUCCUCGGAGGUACUACUACCAGUCAAAACUCUCGCUAAUAAGGCGUAAGAAGGCUUUCCGUUCGAUGGAAUCCCGUUCUUCCUUUUAGAGAUAGGAAAGCGAUUCCCUUCCAGUGCUUUCUAGUAAACUCUUCUCUUUUGUCAAGCAAGGAAUAACCAGCCUGAGGGAAGUUUUCGUUAAGCAAAUCCGUAAGCAAAUAGGGAAGUCAAAUAGGGGCAUAACGGGAAUAGAAGCAGUCAAUCGGUGGAAGGCAAGCAACUCUCGUAAGAGGUCUUCCCGGUCGAGAUGUCUGAGGGAAACUUUUCCGGUAUCAACAACUGUCGCAACGGUCCUGUAACUGUGGAAAAGGGUCCUGCGCUCGGACUUAGAGUGAGAGUGACCCCGAUAAAGCCGACAACCUGGAGGGAAUUCCUCACAAAGAGGAAGCCUUAGCCUUAUUUAUAAAGUAGACGAUUUUCCACCUAUAAAGGAUUAAAUAGAAUCGUAUUAAUAAUCGAUUCGAGGUCCUAUAGCUAGACGGCCGAGAAUGAAUGUGAAAAGAAGAUGAAAGAAUCGUGUGAUACUAUAGCUAGCUACGAUCCCCUACAAGAGGAAUCACUCGACUUAGCCCUUUGGCGGGCGGGCUUCGAGGACCCUACUUACUAAUUCUUUAUGCAUGGAUGUAGGAAGAGCCAACUGCUUUCUUUGGGAUCUGCGCUUAGGGUACAAUCUAUUUAUUAUAAUUAUAGUACACAACCGAGUUUCUUAAUAAAGAGAAGUUGGGGACAUAGUAAACCUCCUACUAUAAGAGCGAUUCCCUGGGACCGGAAGGGGAAAGAUUUAAUCUUGAAAGACUGAGCCCCCGGCUAGCAAGAUCGGGAGGUUUAGUGUCCUCUUAAGAAGGAAUACCCAACUUCUGGGGUCAGCUUCGAUCACGAGGAGAGAAGAGCGGACCAUUGAAAGUCUCAAUUCCUCUCAGCUGGCUUGAUUGAAGGAGUGAGAAUCGGGUGUGGGAUAGAACUAGAUUGAUUGUUGAAACUCUCAAUUGCCAUAGAGCCUUUUGCACUUGACCUACUUAGGCUUUAUCAUGCCAUGCUUCGAACUUCUAUAAAAGCAACUUUCUUCCCUAUAUGGCCUUCCUUCCUUACCGAUACCCCCAAGGAAACCCCGAAUUGGACCAAAAUGGACGGGUUAGUGUGAGCUUAUCCAUGCGGUUAUGCACUCUUCGAAUAGGAAUCCAUUUUCUGAAGAUCCUGGCUUUCGUGCUUUGGUGAGACCUCCGAGCCCCUUUCGACGACCUAUGUUGUGUUGAAGGGAUAUCUAUAUGAUCCGGCCAAUUGCGUAAAGCCCGCGCUAGCAACGGAACCGGGAAAGUAUACAGAAAAGACAGUUCUAUUUCUUGAUGGGGGCAGGGAAGGGAUAUAACUCUGCGGUAGAGUGUCACCUUGACGCGGAGGUGGUCAUCAGUUCGAGUCAGAUUAUCCCUAAACCCAAUGUGAGUUUUCUUUUGCCUUGCACCCCUCCGUGAAUGGGAACCCUCAAGCCCACUUUCCCACCCCGCCCCGUAGAGGGAAAUUUACCUGUGAAUGCGGUGCGGGCCACUGCUCUCCCUUUCACUCGAAACAAGAGUUCCGUGCCAAGCAUAAAGAUUGAAUCAAUAGGACCGUAUUCUAAUCCUAGAAAUGCCAUAACUCAUCUCUUCCGAUCCUUGCUUUGAGUGGGGUAUCUAAACAAUAUUCAUUGCCUUUCCUUGCCCGUGUGGAAUCAUGCUAUUUCCAAGUCGCUGAGGAAGAAGAAGUAUCGAUAUGCCGAAAAGCAGAUGCUCGUCCAAUCAGUCCAAGCAUAGACAGAUCCUAGUGCUAGUGUGAGAUCGCCCUUUUGAUGGUGAAUGUCGGAAAUGCUGUUUUUAGAUGAAUGCUCUGCGCACAUCCAAUUCUUCCUUCUAAGAGUGCAUUCGAUUCGAGUCAACUAUACGAAAGUGAAGUUCCUUGCGAGAGGUAAGGUAAGUUCUUAGGAAUCGAUUGAAUCACAGGAAAGAUCAGGAAUAGCCCUUUAGGUUGCAACUCCUUCUAAGACAACUAGUCUUGGCGAGAGGGAUUAACCUGAUUGACCUCUUAUUGUCCCUGGGGCGGAUGGGAUUGAUUCUAAACCCGCUUCGACGUCUUCCCACGGAUCUGCCUUAUCGAGCCUUUUGGGGGUGCCAUUAAGGCAAUGAAAUAGGUUUUUGUACGAGGAAUAAGAGGCAUAUGCAAGAGCAGGUUGCACGAAAGGAACUGACAUCUCAUCGGAAUAGGAAGCGAAUCCGCUUUUCUAUGUGCUAGAUGUCGGCAUUUCCCCUCUUAGCAUACGGCAUGAACUUCACUGACGCCUACUGACCGGAUCGGGCACGAAGGAGGAAGGAACAAUGGGAGAAAGGCGAAGGUUUUGUCCCGCUCUGGAUCUGUGCCGUUCCGAUCUCAAUCUCAGCCUGUGUUCCCACAUAGUAUUUCGUCAUUAUAUGACAUUCCUACUAACGAGUGAGUGUCAUUUGCACGUGUUCCAAAAAAGAUAAAAAGCAUCUGAGCUGCUUUGAGUGCCGGUACUAGCAAUUGAGACGGCAGCAUUCGAAUCAGCGGCGAGAGAGGGAGCCAACGCACUGGCAGGGGGAGCAGCAUGGAAAGCGAGGCUCCACACCCUUCUCCGUGGGCUUUAGGAAUCGAAACCGGACCAAGCUCGCACACAAGCCUGCUACCAAGCAGGAGCAAAAAAGGAAUAUGUUGAUUGAAUUGGGACAGGAAACCAUCAUAAGCCAGCCAACAAGCCUAACCGUCCCUAUGUCAUCGGGGUCAGAUACCAUGUAGCCUUUCUUUCUUCCCUUCACAAGCCAAGUACAAGACAUACCGGGAGUACAAGCGCUUGACCAUAGGAAGAAGGAAGAGGACGCUGCUCUGACAUAAGCGAUUGGAAGAUCUGAUCUGAAUUUCCUUACGCUGGUUCAAUAAGCAAUAAGAAAGGACUGACGCAUCAGCGAAGAUUCUAAACUAAAGAAAAGAAAGGUCUUUUCAGCUCAAAGAAAUUCGGAAUCAAGACGAAUUGUGACUAACCCCCCUAGUCUAGGAUUUAGUUGAAUAUGAUAAAUGCACUUCUUGAAAAUGGGGAUAAAGUCUGAUUUUGAGCCAGAGAUGGGAUUGGUAGUUGAGUCACUUUCGGGGUUAGCUCUUGAGAUGUUGAAGAAAUAAUAAGGCUAUUACAGCUGUAGAAGUAGGGUAAGACCCGGGAAAUGAAAUAGGAGUUUUCACGUCAAUCUAAGAAAGAGACGGCUUGACUUUCUCUGUCCUUCGCUUUCCCAUCCUUGGUAGCUAGGCCUGGUAGCAUCUUUGCUAGUCUUGUCGAACUAGAAGCUAUAUACUAGGCUUGACCUGACCGUGGGAAAUUGACUUAUUAAAGAAUGGACCCGACCCGGUCACAAGAAGACAGGCGAGAAAGGCCUUCGCUUAGUAAUGGGCAGCUAGCCAUUUCGCAUUUAUGUGGCAUUUGACUCUCGUACCAUGCCUCUUGCUCGUUGAGACCUCUAGAGCAUCCAAUCCUCAAAGGGAAGAAGUGAAGAAGAAGGGGAAUCCCCAAGUCCGAGGACAGAUUCAAAAACGGCUUUCAUGCCAGGUUUAUAACAGAAAAAGGAAUGCAUGUCUCCGAACCCCACCAACUUGCUUUCUAAAGCGCGAAAAAUGGACUUCCCCUCAAACCAUUGGGAUCGAGAAAAAGAAAUAUGCAAUUCGUUCUCUUGGGCUUAUUCAUCUGCACCUUUGAGCAAGAGGUUGAUGUCCUUUGUUGGACAUUCAUAAAAUACAAAAAGGGCUUACCUGGCCAGGUUUAUUAAAUAAAAUCAUUAUUUAUCAGAGCAUCCGACCUCCCGGUUUCAUGGCAAGGGUUUGAUAAGCUAAAUCUUCUUUUAAUCCCUCGGAAGAGAGAUUGAGAUAAAGAACAUCGACGGAGGAAUGUGAAUUAGAAAGUUCCACCAUUUCCAAAGGAAUCGAGGUUGAGCUAAAUAUCACUAAGGAGAUUCUAUUCUUCCAGCACCUUUGGGGGAUCAGAAAGAGCUUCGGUAUCAGGGAUUUCGGAUUCUGAGUCCGUAAAUUGGUCUGCUUUCUAUUUCUGACUAGCUUUCUCUCCCAGGUGGAUUGGAAAAUGCUCUUUGUCUUCAUUCCCAUUCGGGAUUGAAGGAGAUUGAUUCUCACAGGACCGACCCACAAUUCAAAGCAAGGGGCAAAGCAUCGGCAUCAGGAAUGUCAGAUUUAGAGAUAUGGGAUUUCAAAUCUGAUGGGGCAAAAGGCUUUCGCUAUCUCUACCUAGGGAAUUGCCUAUAAAAAAAAAAAUAAGAAGAAAAUAAGGGCAUACGGAGAGCAUUCUCCCUCAGGAGGUGGGGAUUAGACAGCAAGAACGGAAGGAACAAGACUCGCUGAAGGAAGAACAUCAACUCAGAACUUUCUGCGGAGAAGAUGGAAACGAAACUUUUCAGAAAAAAAAUAAGAAGAGAAUCGACUGAUUCAAAUAAGAGAGAGAAAGACUAGUAAAGAAAUUCCGCCCUCCUGGGUCUCAUACGGCUUUCUCAUGAAGCGGAUUUCCAUCGCUUGUGGCUACGUGAUCAAUGCCAAUGGUCUAUAUACUAUAGCCCUCGACAACGCUCUGCUAUUGACAGAGCAGAGCUUAGCAUAGCACUAAAGGGAAAGUCGCUCAGCUCAGGCCAAGCUCUAGGACUGCUAACCCAAUAUCAAUGAGAAGGGAAGCUCCUAAUUCUUCUAGCUUUUUUAUUUUGACCCUGCUGGCCUCUCAUGCGCCGAAGUACGGGAGAGGUUAGGCAAGCCGGUAGCUCGUAUCUCUGGAUAAGGUACGAAGUCACUCGACUGAAAGGAGAGGAGCGGAGUCAGAUUCAUGUCAUGCCUGCUUUUAGCUCGUAGUUUCACUCUUGCUUUUGUACUGAACUUUGUAGAGAUUGGGAUAGAGUGUACCGCAGCUUGCGAGAAGUGGAGUUUACGUUGCUUCCUAGUUCUUAAGCUAGGGAGGAAUGAUUGCAAUAGACCUUAUUCAUAGAGCCCUUCCUUGCCUCUAGUGAAAGGACCCCUAAUUCCUAUCCCCACGAGUUACGAGCUCCGAGAUCCCUUUAAAAGCCAACCUUUCUGCUCAGUAAACUUCGUUCUAGCUUUCUUAUCCCUCUAGUUUUCGAGGCAAGAUUCGGAGCCCACAAGUUAAGGCGCUAAUCUUCUUCUGACCGUACAUCCCUUGGAUAGAAGGGAUCAAACUCAACUCUUCCUUUUAGUAAGGAAAUGGGUCUAUCCAACUCGUACUUCGCAACCUAGAUCUUUGUAUGUAUGGGUCUCGGUAAUUUAAGAGACUAGAUCAAAUAGGGCAAUUCGUAAUGCUCUCUUCCUUCCUGUCCUAAAUAAGGUCAGUCUCAUCGGCAGGCAUUCUUCUUAGUUCUGAGGUAUCUAAUGCUGUCUUUCCAGAUUGAUUCUUAUAUAAGAAGUAUAAAUAAUUGUUGCUACUACGGUUAAGAAGACUCUUAUUAUGUUAUGGACAGUCCAGGAACGAGACCUUCACCUAACCCUCAGAAGGUUGGCUCGUUGUUAACAAGCAAAUGCGAAGGAAAAGGCUUAAAUCUCACAUUUCGAUGUCACUGCUGAAUGUGGUUGCUUGAAAGGAAAAUUUCACAUACGGAAGAGAGAAAGCAGUCUUAGCAAGAACCCUUUUUAGGGUAACCCUAGCCGAGGAGCUUCUUUGGCCAGUUGCUUCAUGACAUGAAAGAGAGGAACUGCUAGUCUUUAAGCUUGAAGGGCCUAGCUCCAAUGAUUUUGACUUCUUACUUCUUCUCACUCAACUUCCUUAGAGAACAGCGAGAACUCGAAACCGAUAACAACCCUAAUGGGUUCACCCAUCAACAGCUAGAAAACCAUUUUUCAACAACGAAGUAGCAACUACCUUAAAUCAGCUAUUAAUACGGUUAGCCCUUCGGGAAGAACCCAGAGAAAAUAGCUAUACAACAAGAGACAUUGUCCAUACAAAGACUUGAGGUGACUAGCCUUAGCUAACAGCAGAGGUAUUCUCUUUGAACUUGCUCCAGACUAUCUUGCUUGGAUCACCGCUACCUCACUCCCUAUCUCUUCUCCUCAGGAUAUUCUAUCGGCUUAUUCUCCGACAAUAGAUAUUCGGAGUAUCCCCCUCUUCCUUCUCUUAUGAGUGGAUAUUAGUUACAAAGGAACUAGUGUUAGGACACUUGAAGAGGCAGAAUAACAAGCAGAAGCAGGAGAUACUAGAGCAUAGCUCCUUCCAAUACUUAGCUACUUACCUCGGUAACUGCCUUCUUAGGACAAUCACCUAUCCGUUCUCUCUCUUUCUACUUGUUAAGAUCUUCAGUUCCUAAAUCCCUUUAAUAAAGAAAGGAAAUACCGAAACAGAACAAGGGAAUACACACAUUGGAGGUGGUCUUACGAGUAAUGAGAAAGAAUGAAAAAAGACCGAUAUCGCCCCGCCCCAUAUAUAUGUAUAUGUGCGCGUACUACUUCUAUCUCAGGAGUUUCCUUUGAAGAUAGGGCAAUCUCUUUCUUCCUUCAGACCGUGACUGAUUGUUUGUCUGCUAAGCUCGGUAGCUAGGACCCUUCCUUCUCCCCGAGUAAACUCGCCUUGCCAUUCAUAGUUUUGUCCCUGUGAUCUCUACAGACUGGGAGAAAGAAUACAUGAGAUGCAGCAAGCCAUGGCAUAAGCCCCUUAGCUUCUGUUGAAUGAAUUCCUUCCCCUUCCAUGCUCUUACCUGGAAACAGGGCUUUCAGAGCUUUCUUUCAAGCUUAAUGGAGUAAGCUAUGUCUCCCGUCCUUAUCUUGGGACUGGCUAGCACUCCUUCCUUCAAAGCAGCUGUUCAAUCCGUCCCUUAGCUUCUCUUUGUCUCUUUCUCUUCGUUCUCUUAUAUCCUGUUUUGGCUAAGACAUGAGAUCGGGUGAUAACUAAAAAAUGUUCUCGCACUCCUUGCUGCCUGAAACCGGCUUUCCAUAGUACCUUUAGAGUGCGAAGAAAGUAGGUUCAUAAUGAGAAAGGGAUUUGCUCAGUUUCCAUUGCGGGCGGGUCUACUGCUCUUACCGCCGAUGCUGCGCCCUUAGCCCCCAAAGGGAGGUGGUAAUAAACCUUCCGCUCAACAGCUAUUCUGAUUUCCGAAAAAGACUUUCUUAUGAAAGAAAGAACUUCGAAACGAUCAUGCCAAAGGGAACAAAUAAAGGCAUCACAUAAGGAAUCAGACAACCUCCCUCUUAAUUAACAUUUUUUUUAGGUUUAAAAAGCCGGCCACCCCCUUCUGAAUUUACCUACCCGAUCCUACUAGGCUGACUAGCGCAUUGCUCUUAGAUUCGUAGCUUUCCCUCUAGUCUAGCUCAUAGCCAACUCUCAUCCCCGGUUUACCCGCUCAUAGUUCUUGCUCUAUCCGCGCACUUCUUUCAUCCGAGGGUAGAAGCCUUAGGGAGGAGUGGAUUAACAUUCCGACGCUUGAGGGACUGAUUUAGGAGUCAUUUCUUUCCAUUGAUCGGAUAGGCGAGAGUUUCGCUCUUCUUUAUGGAAGAGAGCGGCUUUCGGUUCCUGUUAUUGGUAUCGACCUACUUCGUUUAGUGCCGGAUGGAUUUCAGCAAAUUGGUAUGAGCAUUUUGAAGCUAUUUCAUCUGGUUUUGGGGAUUAUAAAAACCGUUAAGGGAAAGCAGCUUCUCCAAGGUGCCUGUUUGAAGCAAAUGGCUACUUCUCAACUAACUUGAAAAGUACCCUCACUGGUUUAGGGGCUUUUGAUUAAGAGAGAGAGGGGCAGGAAAGACGGUAGAAUAUCCAAACCCGAAUCAAAGACAGGCACUCGACUCUAUAUACAAGAAAAUAGUGAACUAAGCGGAUCACAACGGCGAAGGGGGCCAAUCGAGGAGACUGGAGGAGCUGGAUGCAGCGAUUCGGAAGUAGCGAAUCGUCUUCUUUGCAGUUUUUCAGGGGAGUGGCUAUCAAGCCCAAAAUUCCUUUAUUCGGCUAUUCAGAUAAUUUUCUAUAUAAAGUUUACUUCUUUCUUCAUUCAAGUAAGAUAGUAGAUCGAGAAAGGUCCUCUUCCACUGAGAAACUAAGGAGCGAAAGCGAUGUGCUCCGAUGAAAGCUUUGCGGGUCUAACGCGGCCCUUUACUCAAUGAAUAGGAAAUAUGACCACACACAAUAAGAAUCCCCCCGAUCUGGGGCAUGAAGCAGUUGGCUCUCCAUGGGAAUUCUCCAUAGCAUGACUAGUUAAAGCAAUCAAAUUGAUUGAGACAAGCAAGCGGGUUCCCCAUGACGAAUCAAUUGUGUCGGGCGAAAGAAAAGGCCGGGGCAGGAAUGCGGUAGGCAGUGGUCCUAUGAAUGGGUUGACUAAGAUAAUAGAAAGUAUACGGUUAGGUUAAACAAUAUCCAACAAAGACUGUAAUUACAUACAUACAUAACAUAGUCAUAGCGGAAACUAUCAAAACGAGUAAGCUAGGUUGCCUAUGCCAAAAGCCUCUCCAGACAACGAGAAUGAGAUGGAAGCGGACACACAUCCCGUUAAAGGGUCCUCAAUAAAGGAUUCUCCCAUAGUCUUGGGUCGUUUGUCUAGAAAGAACUUCAUGAAAGAAUGGACUGCUUGAGCAUAGGGUGCUCAUGAAGAAGGGAUUACCCUCUAAGGCUUUACACUGUCCUAGUUUUUCUAAUAUGUUUUUAGAGAUAGCAUUGAAUAAUCUAUCGAUAGAUAUCUAACUCAGCCUGUCAGCUCCACCAGGAUCCGCUGCAGUGCUUGAGUGCAUUAGUAUGGUAUCAGUCGAUUACCGGUUCAGCCUAACCUUUCCUUUUUUGCCAAUGCCGGGGGAAUUGGACAAAUAUAACUAUAGGACCAAUGUCCCCCCAUAUCAGAAGAUGAGGAAAAGGAGCGUAGAAGACCAGGUAAAAUAGGAUAUCAUCGAAGAAGCUCAUGAGGAAAUGACGAAACAGGGAAUGUUUAUACAAUGAUUGAUAAGGGCUAAGAGAUCACCUGCUGCGGUUAGAAGAGCUUAUGCCUAAGACCAAAGAGCCAUGCACCGGAAACGAGAGUUGUACGGAUUCAGUUCCCUUUCUAGCUAGGCUAUAAUAUUCCCCUGCUGGGUCAGAUGUUUGACUUGAUGACAAGGAAUUCCCUAUCUCCAUAUGAUUAAUACUCUAUCUAUAACCAAUGUUACGAUUGGGAAAAGGAAGCUGUGGUACUUAUGACUUUACUGUUGAUGAGGAAAACACAAGCAUCGAAUGCUAGUCUUUUGCCCCUGUUAGCACUUUCCUGAACCGUCAACUCAAACUGUAGCAGCGGGAAUGUCUUCACCACCAGAUAUUGCAUUAAGAGCUUCUACUUCUAUUGCAUCAACGGUGGUUUAUUGAACACUAUCCCGAUUUCGAACAAAAGUCUUCCUCUACAUUACUCUCACCAACCGCGGAUGUGGGACGGGACUUGCUGCGGCAAGGAGAAGAGAUGCUGCGAGCACUCUAACUGUCCCAUCUCCUAGCUCAAACUAAGAGCAGUUUGGAAUGAAACUUCCUCCCUAUUCCUAUGGGUCGAGUGAGCUCUUGCUUCUCCGCUUCGAGUAGCCGACUCGACCUUUCUUACCAGAUAUUGGAUUACCUUUCAAAAGAUGCCGAGCCAAGAUCAGGUGAUUUUAUUCCUCUAGUUAGGCAUAUUCCGAAUUAGCUCGUCAGUGGUAGAAGCUGGUUCAUCGGCUUAAGCCAGUCAAUCUAUCCAAAGAGCCUACCCUACGCCUCCUAUAAUAGAUUCAGCUCCAGCUGCGCUUUGCUGAUUCUUCUCAAUCCUGAAUCCUCACUUGCAACUUUCAUCACGAAAGACGCUUUCUCAGUAUCUAUUCAAUUCGGACUUCAUGCUCACUUCAGAAAUGAAGCUAAUAAGGCCUAAAGCUGAGCGACGAGUCCACUGGCAUGAGAAUCAAGCGAAGUAGAGCGAUAAGCACACUAUCGAUUGAUCCAAAGAAGCUUAACGACAACUUCCAUUCCUGGCCCAGAAGGAAAGAGACGAAAGCAAUCCCUUGUUCCAUCAAAGGAAGCUAAUGGGCCGCCCUUAUAAAACCAUGAAUCUUGACCCUAGUGAAGGUAGUCGAUGAGAGGAAUAGGUGGUUUCCAAAGGAGAGAGUUAUUUUAUAUAUGACGCUCUAUCUGUAUUGGAUGGAUGCCUUAGCUGUGGGAUAGAAGGCUUUUCUUUCAAGUCUUCUUUUCUUUGAUCGCCUAAGUCCUUGACUUGAACACUUCGCUGAAAUCAUGUAUAAGAGGUCAUCCCUUAGUGGACUGAUUCAACCUUGUAGCAUAUCUUGCAGCCCUUAGACCGGUCUCCCCUCAUUCAUGCCUUCCUUCAAGGCCUAUUCUUUUGGAUAUCCUUGUUUCCUUCUUUCCUGGAACAUCCUUUGAUUCUGAUUGAUGGGACUUCUGUCUGAAAUCCCUUGACCUAACCUCUCCUUGACUUGCCGCUGCCAAGUCUUCCCCAACCUCUCCUGAUGUUCUUGGUGAGCUAGCCUGUCAUCCACCGCCCCAACUGUGAUGGUCCCCUUCGGCUAGUUCUUUCACAAGUGACCCUGUCUUCCAUCUGCUUCUUCCUCCUAAUGGUUUGGUCCCCCUAGCCCUAGCCAAGUGGUUCUGUCUUUCUUCUAGUUCUUCUAGUAGGUACUCUAGAGGUCUUCAGCCCCAUGUUCCACAGAUGGACAGCCGGGACAGGACCGGGUUCUAUCUCAUGAUGCUGCUGCUACGUUCAUUUGGUCGAGCAAGGUCUUCCCUUGUCUUCUAUGUAUGGCUGGCUCUUCUUGAUCUUGAGGUCAUGGGCUAACUCGACCGUAGGGAGAGGGGUUCAAGAUGCCCUCGUCUAAGUCUGUCUAUUUCUUUCUUUGCUUUAGGAGCUCGUAGGUCUCAAGGGUUGUUUUCCAACUCGACCGGAGGACUCUGUUGAGAUGUCAACUGCUAAGGGAACGUCUUCCGGAUCGAUCGAAGAGGGAGGUGAAAAGAAGAAGUUGAGUAUAUCAUAGCUGACCGCAGGUUGGAUAAUAUCCGCUUGCCCUGUUGAAACCUCACCCUAUGUCAGCAGUGAAGUCUUGCUCGUCGAAGACGUAGAAAUGAAACUGUGUAGAUAGAGGUGAAGGUUACAAAAUGAACAACUUAUCAAUCCUCGUAGUCGAACCUUGUUUUUGUGGAAUAUGUACCCCGGCCAUGUAUCAUGAACACAUGAAGGGUACGGCAUCGGGUCAAAUAGGAAGAAUUCUCCAAACACUAAAAUCCUCGUUGGACGGAAAAAGGAAGGCGAAAGCCUAUCUAUAACUAGGGACCGCCAACCCAGACUUUGAUCAACAAUAGGCCAACUGCUGAUUCUGGUAGUGAAAAGAAAGCCCAUACCUAACUCGCUAUGCUUACAGCUUGGCACGGUCCCGUGCUAUGCUAUUUGAUCGAGAUUCGAAAUACCCUUCCUCGCCGCCACCUUCCUUCUGAGCCAGCCCGAUUGGAAUCUUGUACACUUUCGUUAUCUUUCUUUUAUUGAUCCAGCCUAUACCUAUUUCCUCUUGCUUCGUGCGGCCGGGCCUGUACCUCAUAGAACAGAAAUCCUCUUUAGGAAGCUAGCGCCAACUUCCCUUUAGGGCGUCUAGAGCGGCUAUUGAGUCCGCUGUUCUUGUGGAACUCUUUCCGUUGGCAAUACUUUCUACGCUACGAUUUCUCUUAUUCAAAGCUACCUUAUGAAACUAGUCUUUACGAGUUAUUGGUAACACGAGAUGAUGUCUCGCCUGCUAACUCUUCUUAUCAACCAUAGCUCUUCGAGCCUUCUAUAGUAAGAUAUCAGAGAAGGAAGAAAACUUAUAAUACCAGUCCUGCGUAAAGACUCUUUCCAUCGCUCGAACGAAGGUUAAAGACAGAGUAUAGAUUCGAUUUCGGACUAGGGGAACUAUGCUACAUCCCCGAAGGGAUAGCCUAAGAAUUAGCUAUAAAUCCCUACUUCUAUUAAAAGUUCAUCAGAAAAAGGCUCUUUAACUAGGAGUGUUAGGCGCACAAGCAAGCUCGAACGAUAAAGGAUGUCAGUAUCGUCCUAAGCAGUUUCGAUUAGGAGAAGGCGCUUACCUCCUUCCGAAACUAGUAAUUCUUUCCUUUCCAUGCUGCUCCUUGUUCUAGCUCAUCUUUAUUCUUUUCCAACGGCUUCAAAUGAAGUAGGUGAGGAGAAAAGAAUUUGAAGGUUGUAGACCAGGGAUUGUUGUUCAAUUUGUCAGAGAACCGCCCUGUCAAGGCGGAAGUUGCGGGUUCAAGUCCCGUCAGUCCCGACCUAUGAUCCGAGAAAGAUAUAUCAAUUCAUCUCUCCGGGGAGAGAAAGAGUUGGAUCUAAUUUCCCAGCCUUCUUUCGUUUCGCAUUUCUCAUCGGACAAAGAAAGUCAAGGAAUGGUUAAGUCAAACAUUCCUGUCUUAAGCCAAUCCCUCCUGCCUGGUAGGUGCAAUCAGUAUACGAAUACCGUCCUUUCUACUGCGACCAGUAAGGGUGAUGCGCUAAGGAAUUGAAUCAAGAAAGGAGGAAUGCCUUUCUAUUCGGACUUCUCACUCGAGCUAAUCAAUCUUUCGAUUGGUCAUCGAUUCCUAUCUCAAACUGUACUCGACUUCCGGUCAGGGCGGUGAGUGUGAGGAGAGGGUUGAGUGAGGUUGCAGAACCAAAUGAGACCAAUAACUAACGCAAGGCUAAUCAGAAUGGUGUGGUGGCCCGUUACCUCCAUCCAAUAUAAGCAAAGGGACUGAAGUCAAAAGAAGAAAAUGCGAUAACCGUUCCCAAAAGAAGCUGUUUUUUUCCAAGCGGGCGAAUGAACCAUGUAGUUCGCUCGUGAAAUGCUUAUUUUCGAUUCCCUCGACCAUUGGAAAGGUCUAAAAUUCCUCCAUAUCUAUCGCCCCCAUCUCUGGUCCCAUUUAUGGAAGCUAGCCAAUCUUAAUGAAAGCGUUAGUAGCUUAAUUUUACAUCUUUCUUUUUAGCUAGGAUACACUCCUUUAUACAAGACUUUUCUAGUUCUUGUUAGUGAUCCGGGAACAACACUUAACGUGGGAGAAGGAAAAGCUUUUCACUCUCUUUCUAGCUUGCUAGAAGAGAUAGAUACGGUACAGAGAGGAGAGUUCAGGUCAAAUCCUGUCGAUAAAAAAUUCCAGCUUAUAGGAUCGUGGGGAAGGGGGGAAUUGGAGAGAAAGGUGGAGCUUCACCAGGCCUUUAGUGCUUUUUUUUAAGUCUUGUCUAAGCCCCUUCUCAUUCUUUUUUCAUUUUUUUUUCUCGACAAAUCAAGAAAUUUUCUUUAUAAGAUAGAGCUCCUUCAAGACUUCCUUUUUCAUUCCCGCUGAGACCUCUCAUUGGCACAUCAAAUAUAGGUGUCAGAUCGGGUGCGAACUCAAGAAUGCAGCUAGCCACCCACUUCCCUUCUUCGGUGAAUGUCGGGGUCGGGUUUUCUGGCGGGUGUGCCAUAGUAGAGGCCUUCUUUCCUGAGGAGAUACGAGAAUCCUCUGUAACUUUAAGGGCUUGGGGGGAGCCCUUAAAUAAAGUUCCUCAUUGAAAGGUGGAGGAGUUAGUCUCCACCUCCACUCCCCGGAUGCGGUCUUAUUAAUGGAUACUAAGAAUAGAACAGACAGGUUGGAGAAAUUGAAGAGGGAGUUGCAUUUUUAUUAUAUAUGUCAUGUUCCUCCUCGGGGAUUAGCAGGUGGUCUUUGUUUGCUAUGGAAGAAGAGCGUUGAUUUUCAAGUUCGGACUGUUUACAGUUUCAUUAUGGAAGUUGAGGUCAAGGAUGAUGAUAAAAACAAGCGUUGGAUGCUUGACUGUAUCCAUGCAGAUUUUGAUGACCAGCGACGUCGUGAGCAGUGGAGUCUCUCGCAGCGAGUGGCAGGUCGUCGAGCAGAUGGGUGGGUAGUUCUUGGGGACCUGAAGGAUCUUCUUUUACCAGAUGAUAAGGAGGGGGGAUGUCACCGGUCAGCUGCUUCUUUUUCAGACUUCAGAAAUUUUUUAGAUAAAUGUGGACUGCUGGAUGUAGGUUUUGUUGUUCAUCCUUUCACUUGGUUUCAGAAACGACAGGGUUCUUUCAAUGUGAAGGAGAGGUUAGAUCGAGUCUUAGUUAAUGUUAGUUGGAGUCAUUGCUAUGAGCGAGCUUUAACCUUCCUGCUAUAGGCAGUGACCAUAGCCCCAUCUUGUUGAACACUGAAGUUUUGGAUAGUAUGAAACGUCCAUUUUUCCCUUAUGAUUCACGAUGGGAUAAAGAUGAAGAGUGUGCUGAGGUUGUCAAACAAGCUUGGCAGCUUAAUGUGCGUGGUUCAGACUUGUUUAAAGUGCAGCAAAAAAUGACAAAUUGCCGGGUUGAGCUGCUGAAAUGGAGAAGCUAGCUAGACAGCCCGUGUAUGACCAUGUAAAGGCGAAAUCAUUGAAGCAGGACCUUAAGAGAGAAGAGGAAUUCUGGAGAUGUCAAUCUCGGGUUCAGUGGCUUCAAGCUGGUGAUAAAAAGACAAGUUCUUUCCAUGCUUUGUGUGUUCAGAGUCGAAGGCAUAAUCAAAUUCGGGGAUUGGUUUUUAUGACAGUGGUAUGUGGAAGGAGGAUCAUGAGGGUAUUCAGGGUGUGAUACAUGACUCUUUUUCCACCAUUUUCACUUCCUGCAGUCCGUAAAAUAUUACAGAAGCAGUGAGUGGUAUAUCUCGGGUUAUUACACCCACAAUGAAUGAAGCUCUUGUGAGUGAUGUCACAGAAGAGGAGAUUCAUGCUGCAUUACUAAAAAUUCACCCCAACAAGGCGCCGGGGCCUGACGGUAUGACCUCUAAAGUUGAUGAAUUUUUUGAAGGUAGAGUCUAGUCUUAUCAUGCCAGAUGGUUCAGAUUUCUGAAGAAAUAGCCCAAGUCAACCAGAUGGAGUUACGAUCUGGCAAGAAAUUACCUCCCGUUCCGAAUUAUGGUAAAAAUCUUGUGCAAGAGUUGUCUCAGUCUAAGAAUAGAUCAUCCCCAAAUCCUGAAAGUCCCGUCCAGGAUCAUGGUCUAUCGCAAAAUCAAAACCCUGGGGGCAUCCCUAUAGACCGAGGUGCUGUGGGCGCCCUCUCGAGCCAAAACGAAGUUACCCAACGAGGGAGAUCACGAAUGCUUGCUGGUCAAACAUUAGCGGCUAAUGGACAACAUGUUCGCUAUGACAUAUUAGCUCAUCUCAAAAAGAUUCCUGCACUCCUCAGCGUAUACGAUGCAUUGAAGAUGUCUGCAGAACUAAGGAUGUCCCUAGUAUACGCAUUAACGAACCCAGAGGAGUUUUCUAAUGAAGUUAACCAAGUUAAGAUGAGAAGUAGUGAACCAACUUAUGCCGAGUGUUUGGCUUUGAUCACGUUUACGGACGAUUACUUGCAACCAGGACUCAUUAAGCAUAACAGGCCUUUGUUCAUUUCAGGAUACCUUAAUGGAUUGGGGAUAACAAGAAUCAUGAUAGAUGGGGGAUCGGCUGUUAAUCUCCUACCUUUGAGAAUGCUAAAACGUCUCGGGAUUGCUAUUCAUCGAUUGGGCCCAAGCAAUCUACUUAUCCAAGGAUUUAACCAAAGUAGGCAGAGGUCUCCGGGCAUUGUACGACUUGAAUUAAAGAUCGAGGAAUGGGGGGAUACCAUACCCCUUGUAUGUCAUUGAUGCGGAAACAUAAAACAAUGUUUUACUUGGGCGGCCUUGGAUGCAUGAUAAUUGUGUCGUCCUUUCUACUUAUCACCAAUGUUUCAAGUAAACCAAAGGUGGUGAGCAGAAGAGGGUGAAAGCAGAUGCAAAUCCUUUUAGCGAAGCAAAAGCGUAUUACGCAGAUGCUAAAUUUUAUUUAUCCGAAGAAAAAAUAAAUGCUACAAAGCUCAAAGAGAAAGGGAUUUCGACCUCAGACGACCAAUCGACCCCUAUGAUGCUAUCAGAAGAGAGGCUAUGAAAUAGGUGAAAAAGUGAAAAAAGUUGAAGAAGAAUAAAAAACUCCUGAUACUAAGAAGGCCCCUAAAAAGCCUGCCUUCCUCUCAUCUUCCUUAUGGAAUGGGCUCCUCUUUAGAAUUAACGAAAUCUAGAGUCUUGGAUGAAUCCUCUUGAAACGGAUCGAUCAACUCUAGAAGACUCGAUGGCUGUUAAGCCCAGUGAAUAACCUAAUUCAGAGAGAUAACCCGGUCUUUAGACACUCGCCCUACUUCUAAAGAUAGAUAGAAAAGGUUGGGGAGUCCCAGCUGCUGAGGUGGCGUAGUGACAGGUGAGAGCAAUAAUAACAAAAGCAGCGGAAGAUCCUGCAGUAGUAUAUUCGGUUGUUUGCGGUGGAAUAGAAAAAAGCGUCCGGGCCAGUAGAUCCAGAGCAAAUAGGCGUUGACUUAGUUGCUUUUGCAGUUGAUUUUCAUCCCGAUGUUGAUCCAACGCAACUUACCGGUGAUAGUCGCAGCACCAGGAGCUUUCAAGGGGAGCAGACAUGUAUAGAUAGUAGCUGAAGUGGCAUACCUUCCGGAUCGAGGGUCCCACCCGGUAAACACCAUACAGGCAAAAUACCAGCAAGCAGGGGGAGGAGGCCCUUAUCACUCAAGCUCAAGCAUUUACUUUUCUAGUUAUAGACCAACGUCUUGGGGCUAACGUGGGAUCCGCUCAAGGACCUACCUACUUGGUUUAGGUAAAUAUCUCAUGCGUUCCCCGACUGGGGAGGUCAUUUUGGAGUAGAAACUAUGCGCUUUUCAAAAAUGGUCGGAAGAACGGGUUUAAAAAAAAAAUAUAUAUAUAAUAUAUAUUACCUUACCGGCUGGCCGGUUUUUAUGCAAAAAAAAACAAAACGGGAUUGGAUUUCCACUCAUAAGGAAGGAAGGUUAGAUACCUUUGACAGGGUUGUAUUUUUGGUUGAAAUGGGAUGGUGUUCAAACUCCCGAAAUGCAGUCUAGACAGUGGGCCCUCCCCUUUCUGACUAGACUGACUCGGGGAAGGGUCAAUCUCCUCCGGAGCAUGCUGCACAGCCACUCAUUUGUCCUGACUAAAUAGUAGAAUCUAUCUCUCAGCGAUUCUUUUCUCCGCCAAAAACCCCUUCCCAACCAGCCCGCCCGAUUUUUUUUGUAAGAUCAGCUAAUUUAAAGGGGUUAAUCUGGUCCGAAGUUGUCGGAACGAAUCGUUUGCUUUAUCAAACAAAGCUUUAUUAGGGGGGUCUUGGUUGGCCCCCCUAUUUUCAACCAUUAUAGCUGGCGUCGACCCGCUUUGCGAUACGGACGAACACGAAGAAGAAGGCAGGCAGCGAAAAUGCAAAAGAGAAGAGCAAAGAUUCCCGACCCAGAGCAUGUUAUUGACUCAACCACAAAGCUGUUGAAUGAAGGUAGCUUGCUUACUCUCAGCCACUAGUUAGAAGAAAAUCCCUUGACUUCGCUUAUGCCCUUAUGCAAUAAAGAAAGCAAAUGAGGCGGGCUAAGAUUCCAUUCGAAGUAAGAUAACAGGAUUCGAUGUUGCACCAUCUUCAACUCUUCUCGGGAUCCGGAGUUUUGUUUUUCGAGAAAAGGUCCCAUCCUUCAAUAUCAUGAUUGGGUCGACCAGGCCAGAUCAUGAGUAAAUAGAAAAUCGAAAACGUACAUAGCUGUUCCAGCUGAAAUACUUGGAAUAAUUCUACCACUUUUACUAGGAGUAGCCUUUUUAGUGCUAGCUGAACGUAAAGUAAUGGCUUUUGUGCAACGUCGAAAGGGUCCUGAUGUAGUGGGAUCGUUCGGAUUGUUACAACCUCUAGCAGAUGGUUUGAAAUUGAUUCUAAAAGAACCUAUUUCACCAAGUAGUGCUAAUUUCUCCCUUUUUAGAAUGGCUCCAGUGGCUACAUUUAUGUUAAGUCUGGUCGCUUGGGCCGUUGUACCUUUUGAUUAUGGUAUGGUAUUGUCAGAUUCGAACAUAGGGCUACUUUAUUUGUUUGCCAUAUCUUCGCUAGGUGUUUAUGGAAUUAUUACAGCAGGUCGGUCUAGUAAUUAGGGGGCGGCCGUUCGGUCGCCUAUGAUACUAGGACCAAUAGGUCAAAAAUGGGUUUGUGCCGCAGGUGUUGAACGAUCUACUCUACACAGGUGUGGGCUUACAGGGCUAGGGCUCAUAAACCUUUUCUUUCAUUCAUCAAUAGGGCCCUGGUCGGUCACUUUCCGGGUCGGGAUCGAUAAGUAGAAGUCAUAAAAAAGAAAUGUUUCUCUUCGCACCUCAGAUCAAGAGCUUGUCAAGCUGGCCUAUAUAUAAUAUAAAGAAAAAGAUUCGUUGUCUUUUAACCGGCUGUUCUUCUUUGUCAACGCUACUAAGGACCUAUGGGUUCGCCUACUUGACUUAUGAAAGAUAAUGAGAAUGGGUUAUUCAAAAAGGAAAAGGCGCUACUAUACAAGACAUUAGUAGAAGUAAGAGGCUGAGUUAGCCUAGCCUACUAAUGUCUUGUAUAGUAGGGUAUAGUAUAGUAGGCGAGCGAGUUAGCGAAGACGCUUAGGCUAAUAGAUAAGAGAGCGUCGGUGCGUAGCCUUCAUUCUACUACGCUACGCAAAGGUUACGAAGUCACUUAGCUCGACGUUAGGAAAGUCAAGGGGGAACGCCAUACCUACAUAGAAGAACCGCUGUUCGCUGACUUUUUAAGGUCUAACCUUUCGCUCCCCUACUGAAAAGGGGCAAAACCGCUUCGCACCACUGAUAGACUACUUAAGAUUCAAUUCAAAAAGGCCCUACUUAGCUUAGUUUCGAAAGCCUUUGUCAUUGUCAGUCAACUAAGUAGGGCCUGAGGCCCCCUGCGAAUCCGUAAAUCUGAGGAGCAUGCCGCAACAAAAGGAUGGUCCCCUAUGCAUUUCAUUCUUUCUGAAAAGGAAAAAAUAAAAAAGUACCCCCAUCAUGGUGAACCUCUCCUUGUGAUCGGGAUGAGGUAAAUGCCUCCCAGCCGGGGGGCGGAUCGAAUCGGAGUUUCCUUAGGUAGCCACCGACCUACAGUUAUCCUUAAACUUUCGUGCUUGGUGGAGAAGAAGCGAACAAAGGUACGCUCGCUUGCUGUCUUGUUCUCUGCCGCGAACUGGGAUCGCUCGCCAGCUAGGUCAGAUUGGAACAACAUUUUUUGAGAACAUAUUACCCAUCUUCGGGGACAGGGGGCGGAACGACCUCUCGAUCUACUUACUACAGCCCAGGAAUAAAAACGUCGUCUAGGCGUUCCCUGUUGCUCCGAUCCCCCCGUAGCCUAGGGCGUUGUCUGGGCCAAGAGCCAUAGUUAGUUGCUGUUUCCAUUUGGUUGUUUUUUUCUCGUUGUUGAUACCGGCAAGACCCAGCCAGAUGAUGUCUGCUGGUUGGUAGUGAGAGGACUCUUAGUAUCUGCAUACCCAAAAGGUGGCGCUGAUUUCAAAACAAUCAUUUUCUUUUGUUUCUUGCUUUCUCUUAGCAGCGGGAAAGGAGUCUAUCUAUCUGCCUAGCUUUGGUAGAUUUCCCCCAACGCAAUCCACAGAAAUUCCACGAAUCUCCUUGGUGGAUAAGUCCGACGACUCAGCAGCAGUGCGGAAUUGAGUUUCUCGUCUGGUGGAUCUGAUCUAUAGUUAGGGGGCAAUACAUACCAAAAGGUUCGAAGAAAGAACGCGCAUAAGAGUAAGAGUAUAUAACCAAACCACCCUUCUGUAUAACCUAUUCACAUUAGUGAAGCGGCUGGAUGCAUAAGGGAAGUGCAUGUUUGUGAGACCUUAGUCGGGAUGCAUAGGGGAGUCAACCUACGAGCACGGAAGGGCGUGGUACCGCUGCCCCUCUCUAAGUAAAGGUAAAGUCUCUCCUUCAGCUAGAAUGUAAGGAAAUUGAAAGAAGCGCGGAAAAGGGUCAAAUGCGGUUGCUAGCAUCGAAGAGAGCCGUCAUCGACGAUAAAGUGGGAGUUCGGACUUGGCGAACGAGCUCUUCCCGCGGGAGAGGAAAGCGGGGGCAGGAAAAAUAACCAUUCCGGUGGUUGAUAGUAGAGGCUGGAUAAAACAUGGAUAGGCGUGCCUUAUCAUCCAAAAGAAAAGGAUGUAGAAACAGGAAGGGCUCGUGGGGUCGAUCCCACAUCUCAUAGAGAGGAGGAAUACCAAGGAUGAUAAGGGAAAACUAACUCUACAGCUUACAGGCUUUGUUUAGUCAAAAGCCCGCUUAAAGCUAUAGAAUUUAUGGUAUAUUUUUUUUUUCAAUUGGUAAAGGUCAUCGCCGGUCGGAUCCGCCGCAUUAGUCUAAGGUGCUUGCUCCUUUUAGUUGGACUUAGAGAAGAGAAAUGCUAGCACCUCUUUUCAUCAAUCUUUCUUGAGGACUCUGUCUAUAUCCAUACGGCCUCUAUAGAUAGUGAAAUUCUGAGUUUAAACGAUCUUAGGGGUCAGAAGAGUAGGCCUGGAAAGGAUUGCUAAAAGAUUUUCUUAGGAUGGAAUUCAACUUUCAUUCUAUAUAAGUAUAAGUAGUCUUUAUGCCCAGUCACUCGACUUAGAAAGAGGGUUGGUUCUCCCUCCUAGGCUAAAAGUGUACCUGCAGUUAGAACAUGCAUGGGCUUUUUCUAAAUCGACAUAUCUAGGUUCUCCCAACCCAACUGGUUCCCUUUCUUUCGAAAUGGCAUUGCCCAAAGUCGAAUCCAAGGCUUGACAGGAGAGCUUCUCUUAGCCUUAGCCCAGGAACUUCUUCUAGUUAGUAGCGAUGAAUUCAAUGAGAAUGAAGCAAUAACCACUGAUUGAUGGGGGAGUCUUACUAUUUUAACCAGUUUUCCCCAACCAAGAUAUCCUGCCUAUCCCGAAAAGGGACUCCCUCCAAAAAGUAGCUUUUGACUAAGCAUAUGACGAAGGAUCGGCCUUAGCUAGAGCUAAGUGGCUGGGUCAGGGUAAGUAUUGAAAGCAUAGGUCGACUUAAUCCGGAUUGGUUCAUUUCGUGACUAACAGCCUAUAGACUGGAUGGAAAUUCCCACGGAGAUGAUUACUAAUCUAGCAUCCUUAGGUUUCUUAUUGAGUUAGAUGGAAAAAAUAGAAUCCCUGGAUAAACUAUAGCCCUUGAGAAAGUCUUGGCUAGAGGAUAAUUCAUUACUGUCUAAAGCAUGGGAGUCAGUCCUGGUACUCAUUCCUUGAAGGAUAAGGUGUGUAGCCGCUGUUUAUACUGGUACUGAGAUUGUUCCUUUUGCUGCAGAAGAACUGAUAUCAUCCCGGAUGAUUGUAACUAUUGAAAUGUUCCUUGCAAAGUUUUAAUUUAUCCUGGUUUUUUACCGGCUGGAACUACUAUCCCAUUAAAAUGUAAGGUAUCCCUAAGUGUGGCAUUGCUCUCUAACCCUAACAGCGUAACCAAGUCUGUAAUGCUAUACAAUCCACCAAUAUAAGCACUUUUUCAAUUACCAUCUGCCUCGGCUCUUGCGUAUUAGUGUCAAGCAAGUUGUUUUUCUGCCCGGGUUGACAUGAGAUAAGCAAGUUCGCUGCUUCAUUCUGGGCGGGGGUAAUGCCUUUUUCCAGGGAAAGUGAAUUGUAAACUGUAACGAUGUGACUUGUCCCUCACUUUCUGAGUAGAAGGUUUGGCACUUUACACACUGUAUAGUUGUUUGUGAUUUGAGUAAUGCGGUGAUGUUCAUGAAAUCUUUAUUUUCGAUAACUCACUAAGAAGAUAGGGCUUUACAGUUCAUACUUCUUUGACAGAGUGUUAUAACUAUAGAAUCUAAUGAAAGAGAUCCAGGCUUUAAGAAAAAUGCAUUUCAAAUGUCUGCCCUAAUAUAAUGAAUUAGACAUCUUUCUAUCGCGGAAAUAGUGGAUUAAAAAGGGAAUUGGCUGUUCCACACCGCAUAGCUGUCAGCUAAAGUGGGAAUCAAAAGUGGACUAGUUUAGGAGCCAUAUUCUCGAGACUUCCCUUCCCGCUUCGCUAAGGAAGCUUUUCCUUCUUCAAGUCUUCCCCGCAAGCAGUUCACCCAUUAGUUCAUUUGCUCGCCCGAAGCCGUAGGAUUGACUAACUCCCUCCGGUCGCUUCACUGCGAUCGCCUCUCUCUCUUUCACCUUCCUACGAGAUAAAGAGACUUACCGUACUGUGACAUUUCUCUAUCUUUAUUUAAGUCACUGGGAUUCACUUCAGAAAGAAUGUCAUUGACGAAUGGAAAAGGAAGAUGAAGCUCUAGCCUCCGAUUAAGAUUACCCCUACAUUCCAAGAUCAGAGAAUGAUAAAGACUUAGCUGCCUUAGCGGAAGCAUCGGAUUCGGAUGGUUCAGCCAAAGUGAGUUUCCCCGAUCCCGACCUAGUCUUAGCACCCACGUGAGGGGAUCUUUCCUGCGGAGGGCAUCUUCGAGGGAGUGAGACUGAGAACCUCAUGCUGGCCGUCUUAUCCGCCCUAGAUUAGAUGAUUGGUAAAUGAAAAACAGGAACUUGGGUACACUUAUUUUUAAGCAUGCGUAGGAAAAGUUUUAGCUCCGCCUUCCUAGAGCUGUUUCAGUCUUUUCUGCUAAUUGAGUCUUAUCUGUCACUUGCUGCUUCUGCCCAUUCUUCCUUUAUAAAAAUGAUUUAUGCAGGUACAACGAAGCAUAGUCUAAAGCUUGCCUUCGCUCACGUCUUCAUCUGGUCUAAUUUCGGGGUUAGGAGGGAUAGUUGUCACCUUUCCCAGAGCGUCAAUCAGUCGGUUCCACAUUUUGAGCAGAGAGGUGGGGUCAAGGGCGGCAGCAUUUAAGAACAGAGUCCCUGAACAGCUUACUAGUCUGACGGAUGAGGAUAGAAUGGGCAAGGAGUGAUGAACAAGAAGGAAAGAGUCUGAUCAAGGUGUAGAAUCUUCCCUACUGGCAUUCAACCCACUACGCGGUAGUUCAGGCGAAGGUAAUCAGUCUCAGGGAGUGAAAUCAACCUUUUUAGCAAGGGUCUUUCAUAAUUCAGAAAAUGAGAAUUUAAUCAUUAGCUUCUGGUGAGGAUGAGUAAUCUUAUGAAAUCAGACUGUUGCUGUUAGCUCUGGAAAAUUCUUCUUCCUUAACCUGACCGCUAAGGACUGGCAUUCUUUCUGCAAAAGCGGUUAGACCAGAAAUGGAUGCAGGCUUUGACACCUGCUCCGAUGCCCGCUCCUUCGCCCCCGCAUAUGGAAAAGGAUCUGCUCUUGCCGGGAGAACUGGUACUGACCUAACUGGCCCUAUUCCUACAUGACAGGAAGACCUUCUAUGCCAGUCCUACUACCAGAGUACGGACCAGACAAGGAAUAUCUCUUACUCCAGUACUCAAAAAAAGACAAGUCACUCUUUGAAUUGAGAUAAGGCUAUUUGAACUAGUGGAAAACUCCUUCGGACCCUUCCUUUGUCGUGGGCGUAGGAAAUUCAAAUCCCAUGGAUAAGCCUUUUCCCUAUGCCCAAACCACCAGACGAGAGAAUCUGUAUCUGAUCCUUCCUGAGAGUGAGAGGAGACAGAGUCAAAUCAAUCGACAACAAAAGGAGUCACUCGUGGCACACUGACUAUAUUCCAACUUCUCUGCAUCAAUGCACUCACUACCUUUCUAGCCAAGGAAAGCAAGUCAAGCAGUCUUUUCAAGAAGAAAGUCACACCGCUACUACUAUUCUAACAGCUACCUAUUCUCAUCCGAGGAGAACGGAACCACCUUUAGAGUAGAGCUAACUGCUGCAGUUACGCCUCCAACAGAUGAAAUCGUACCCUCGUCUUACCGAGAACCUGAAUGGGAUUCGUGAACAGGAAAAGAAAAGACCUCUACUGCAAUCCCACUCCACUGGCUGUUCUUCCCCCGCUCUGGAACGAAAUUCGAAUAGAACCAGUUCUAGUGAGCAACGAAACGGAUUUCAUCACGGUUCAGAAACCUUCUUUCAAGUUGGCUAUGCGCCCGGAUCUUGACCACCUUAAGCCAAGUCGAUAGAAAGAAGGUCAAAGACCUAGAAUUUCUUUUUCUCCACGGCUUCACGCUUUCGAAGCUUCGGCUUGACCGCCUGCUCAAUCAAAACCGGGACUUUCUGCAAUCAGUUCCCAUUCACCCUUGCCUACAUCGCAAGAAAAAAAGAAAGAAAAAAAGUAUUCUCCCUUUAGAAAUGCGGUUACUUGAAGCAGCCACAUAUAGCGUAUAUAAGAGAACAGAACUGCUGCAGUCCCCAUAAAACAUAAAAGAAGAAAGGUCUUUGCGGAUCGUACCGUAGAAAGCGACUUGAAUCAUCUAGGACUAUAUAAAAAUCUCUUUUUUCCUUUUUCCAUAGUAGAAUAUAGCUCUACUAUAUAAAGAUAUUAUAUAUUAUAGAAUAGUAACAUAGUAACUGAGUAUGCGUUCUUCUCUAUUUAUAAUUCCUAUCAAUUAAAGAAAUAGCAUCCCUCUCCUUUCAAAAAAGCCUUUACGGUGACACAAAUGAGCCCGAAAGAAAGGGGGGAUAUUCUUUGCUCUGAGAAUAAUAUUAUUCUAUUCCGAAACAAAAGAAUCAGCCUGACAAGCCUAUGAUAGAAGAAUAAUGGAGAACAUGUAACGCAGCAAAUAAGGAUUUUUGGAGCAGCGGAAUGGAAGAUUCUAAAGCCAUUCUUCAGCUUUCGCGGGGUACAAGAGAGGAGAUCAUUCCAUCCAUAACUUUCUCUACGAUGAGUUUUCUAUUAUAAUUAUAGUUCAAGCAUAGCUGGAAAAAGGAAUAAAUACGAAGGAAGUGAGAGGGUCGACUAUAGGUCUGUCUGUAAAGCCUGACGGUCGAGUAUUGAGGUAGCGGUUUAGUCUUUGGGAGGAAUUCAAUCUCAUGUACAUAUAAUAAAGGAGCGACUGAAAGAGUUAGCAAGGUGGUAAGCUUUUGGUAUAGCACAGCCAAUUACAUUUUGAAAGAAAAGAAUCGAUCGAAGCCAAUCAAGCCAAAUAUAUAUCAUAUACCUCAACCUUUUUUCGCUGAAAGAGAGGUGAAAAAGAAGGGAUGCUCUCUUCCCAGCCAGUAUUCUAUUCCCCCAACAGCGGAACAAACUUCAAGUUUUCCUGGUGGAAACGAAGCAACCUUUGCUCCUUGAUUCACUGGACUUGCUUUGCUCCAAGGAAGAAAUAGUGACAGUAAAUAGCUUACGAUGCAAGACACAUUUCCAAGUAUUCAUCGAGGGGAAGGUGCUAAAUAGCUUCUAGCUAGGCCUUCCGUCCGUUUCGAAAAAGCUGGGCUAAUCCUAAAGCAGAAGGAGAAAUUGGGAUAUAAUAGAAAAACUUAUAAUAUCCAAAAGUUCUUGGUACUUUGUUUGCUUAAGCUUAAGACCCCUCGUUAGCAUAGCACAUAGCAGGAGGUCGUUGCAAGAAAGCAGAUUCUUAUGACUUAUCCUGCUUCACCCUCCCUUAAUGCAAAGGGAAAGCCCUCUUGUCGAUGUACGUUCUGGUCCUAAAGGAUUUAGAUAGGCGGGAGCUCUCUUCUUUCUUCACCGCAACCUUUAGGAGAUUCGAUUGCUAUUUUCAGCUCAAAACUAGAUAGCUAUUCCUCAUUUAGCAUUUAGAUAGGAAAGAGAAUGGCCGCUUUCAACAAGGUCUGGAAGCCCAGGUUAUCCCACCAAUAUUCCCCAAACAUUUUAUUUUCUCGCGAAAGAGGUUCAUACUCAUUAAGGAAUUUCUCAUCUUUGAUUUGAUGUUGGGAUCAGAUAUCCCACAACCCCUUUAGUUUAGACUGAAAUCUUUGUCUUUUUGAGCGGCAAAGCGAAGAGAAAGCAAGGGAACAAAUAGUACUGGUAAGUUUGAAAGCCCCCUAUGCGGAAAAGCUCUUAUAACGAAUAGUGAGAACUGCGCCCAAAGCGAGUUCUGAAGAAAGAUUUCAGACCAUCAGUCUAAAUAGCAGUAUGUAGUAGUUGUAGUCCGUCUGCCAGUAUCCGUAUUUGUCCCUGCUUUUGCUGCCCAAGGCGCAACUCAAAUUUUAAGGUUUAUAGACCAUUACAGUCACUCUGUAGAAGUACGGAUCAGAGAGAGUUUGUUCACGAGCCGUAAAGUAAGUAGCUCGGACCAGCGGAAGAAUUGAAGGAAGGCAGUUUGCUGCUCUUCUUGCUCAAAGACACAGGCAUAGCAUAGAGCUGACUGAGUCAAAGGUUCUAAGGAGUUCCUUGCUCUGAUUAGUUUAUCCCGCCUGCACUUCAGAAUAAAUCGGGAUAGCGAGCCUCACAAGAUCCUUUAUUAAGGAAAGAAAUAAGUGAUUUCAUCAGAAUGAACGGGCAAUUUAGGUUAGGGUUCAAAGGUUAUUAUAAAAGCCCGAGUAGUUGAUCUAAUAGUUAUAAAAUAGCGAAUGAACAAUCAUUCACAAAUAGACGAGGAAUUCGUCGUUGAACAACCAUCACGAUUGGAACAUCUUUCUUCCUGAAUCUCAUCGGAUCAAUCGGUCAGGCGGGAACCCAGCCCAGAAGAUGAAUUAGAGUUAGUUAGCCAGCUAAAUAUUUAGCAGGUAAAGUAGGAGUCCCAUAUAUAAGAACCUUUCACCCCUUUUCUACGACUACUAGUACGUAGUAGGGAAUCGUCAACCACCCCUUUCCCAAGGGGAAAAGAAGGAGUUCUCGGUGUGGUCUCUGUCCUUCUUUGUUAGAAGCAACUUCAGGAUCAACAGCGUUGAACAGACCGAUAAAGAUGUGGAUCUUUCUAUAAAGCAUAGGACAUCAAAAAGCAUAAACUGAAACCAUUCCACGUGCGGCCUUCGCCGAAGACGAAGGAAGAAGUAAAGGAAAGGAAAGGCAAGUACUUCAAUUAAUUGCUCAAAGACGUGAACCAAAUCAUUUAAGCGUUCACGUAUUGGCUUCAGGCAUAGGAAGGAGUUGACUGAUUCUCGAUGGUUGCACCGCUUAAUCGUGCUUUCUAUUCCUAAUGGAAGAAGAUAAGGAAGAAAAACAAUAUUCACUCAACUCCAAAGAAAGCUUCUAAAACAAGGUAAAAACUUCACGGAUUUCAUCAGGAUUAAUAGUCAUAGGAAAAGGUACACUCAAACGAAGAAAAGAUCUUUUUGCAUAGUUCUAUUUUUCAUAUUUUCAAUUCGAAUGUUUACUACAUUACUUCCUGAAAGUGUGCCCUUGCCCCCUGAGGGCAAGGUAGGAAGGACCUUUUAUGGGUAUAAUUCAUGUUCUCCACUCAACAAGGUACUGGAUUAGCUUCUGGCGGAAUCCGCUUGGAUUUCCAUUUUGACAAGAGAUGAUGCACGCUGAACUAGGAUGCUAGGAAAUGGCGUACUUCGACACCUGGCACAAAGAACUAAAGUGCCGCUUGCUAAUACAGUGUAUUAGAGUUCGAGCAACAGAUCACGGUUCGGUUCGAGCUAAAGCUAAUUCAGAGUUUUCGCGGGAAGAUGAACUAUUUAAUCCUUCUCCAUCCGAAUCCGUCUCAGUUCCAGGUAUUGAAGCGAAAGAUGACUCGACCAGAGCACCCUGGGAUAAAUUUUCCACAUCAGUCUAAGUGGUGGAGGUAUCAGCCCAGGCAUGAAGGCCUACGAUUAGAAUAGAAUGCUGACUUCUAGUUUUUAGACGGCUCUUGAUGAGCCUGUGGUCUACACAAAAGUAGAAGGGAGAAAGAGAUCAGAAUGAAAGUACGAACCCAUAUGUAAACAACCACAACAGGUCAUGAUUUCAGCGAAGAACUGGGAUUUCAUCCCCGCUAGGUAUACCUGGGAAAAAGAAAUGCUUUAAAUAAGCUUGAACCUCAGGAUCAAUGCAAUUGGAUUUUAUCCCGACUAGAAAGAUUCCCCUUCUGUCCAAUCCCCGUGAAUAGUGUCCCCCACCUUCAAAGAGAAUCAAUAACAUCUUCUACUACUAGGAAGUAGGUUUCGAAGCAAAAGAAGAGUCAAGAAAGGUGGAAGCCAAAAUAGCGGACGGUGGAAAGCUGCCUAUACACAUGCAUUUGAAUUCCCAAGUGUGAACAUGAUAAAUGGAGAUGAGCAAAGGUCGAAAGUCGCGAAAAGGAAGGCAACCGCACCCGUAGGAGGCAUAUUCCAGAAAAAAAAGUCAGGAUAGGAUUAACCCCGGUCCAUCAGAUAGAAUCAGAUCUCGAACAACUGAAAGGCCAAAUGAUCUUCUCCAUAAAGAAUGGGAUACUAUGGAACAUGACUGUAUCAAGUAUGUUCGAUCCUGCCAGCAGUGUCAGAUCUACGCGGAUAAGGAAAAGGUUUUGAUUCCUCUGAAUAACAUGACAACGCCUUGGCCGUUCUCAAUGUGUGGAAUAUCGAUGUCAUCGGAAAUAUGACUCCAAAAGCUUCCAAUGCUUCAUCCUAGUGGCAAUCUACUACUUCACCAAAUGGGUUGAAGUCGCGUCUUAUGCAAAUCAAGAUCAAGAAGGUAGAGAUUCAUUCAAAACAACAUCAUAGCCAGCGUCCUAAUGACAUCAUCACUGACAAUGCCACCAAUCUGAACAAUGACAUGAUGUAUCCUACGUUUCAAAAUUCCUUUGUUAAUUCAGAUGUUUCCUGAUAUGGUUCCAGGAAAAAUAGACUUACAUAGUGAUUUUUUUUUUUUUCUUUUUUGAGCAACCUCCUCCUCUUUUACCGAGACUUUCUCACAUAACGCCUGUGUAUGGCCCUUUCAAGUAGUACAAUCGUCUUAGUUAUGACUGCUAUUCACAUGGUUGUUGGCUCCAUUUCGACAAAAAACAUCGCUUUAUGUAUGGAUCUUGACCAUUCCAGCGGUACUUUGAGCUGGGAACUUUCUUCGGCUAAUCACAAUGUUUCACCUGACGGUGAGAGUACUUUUGGGGACAACUCCGGCUGGACAUUGAUCCGAGGGAGCAACUCUGGAGAAAGCUCCGAAGCAAGCGGGAAUCAGCCCGCUUGUCAAAAUGCAGGUCCAAUUGAGCAACCAGCGCCACAGCAUCCAGCUUUCCCCCUCCUUCAAGAACAGUGCGAGCGGGAAGUCCAUUCAGUCCAGUGAGUGGGAGGUCGUCGUGAAUGAAUGGGUCCUUUAGAGGGUUCAGUUCCCACAAGUAAGAUGCUUAUGAGUAGGUGCGGGUUAGUAGCAAGAAGGAUUUAUUACUGAAAUGAAAAUAAAAAAUGACAUAUUAAAGUAUAGAUGAUCUGUCCAUUCUAGAGUCACUAAGGGAAAUGACUCUCGAUUGAGAUCAUGCCCCCCUUUAUUUAACCAUCUUAGUCUUUAUGAUAGCUCAUUUUCUUUUUACCAUGCCUUUCCUCGUGGAAAAACCACUGGCAAUUUCCGACAAGCCUUUCUUCCUUUUGUUAGAGCAAGAAGCAUAACUACAGGGAUUCCAUUUAAAAAUGCUUGAACAACUAAUUAGCGAUUUCAUAUUGCGAAUUGGCUUGGCUUUGCCCUUCGAAAUUCUGGUGGCCGUUAGGGCGGGUAAGAUCCCCGCUUUAAAUAGUUUGACUAUGGAUGAAAAAUAACAGACCUUACUUUAGACGUAAUCAAAGAACAAAUCGUAGAUCGUCUCUUUAUUUUAUAUGAAGUCUAUAGGGACACUACUCCUACGGGAGAUGGUGACUUACCAGAAGCGGUCAAUUUCCAUGACGUAUCUGAACGGGUUCUUUUUAGCGUGGACAACAUUCACUGGCUAAACCAUAUCUAUAUAGAUCUUGUGGAUCAUGGAAGCCGAAGUGAAUAUUUUGUCCAAGUUAUACAAUUUCUUGGAGCGUAGAAAAAGCUUCUGAUUUUGAUGAAUUCGAAACAUCUCUUUUCCAUUUAGAAUAGAAGGAAGAAGUGCCCUUACCGCUAGUGCUUGCAAUAGCUCGUUUCCUUUCUUUCAUACCCAAAUUCAACUGUAUAAGUUGAGGAUCCACCAUUGAUUGGUACUGAAUCCGGUGGAUUAUUGAUCACAAAUCGCUUGUUAUCGCACUGUCCUUCCUUGCUUGACUGCCUUUUCACACUCAUACUAGGAGUCAAAGAAUGAACUCUUUACUGAGCUAUUGCAUAAGAGAGAGCAGAGCUCUUUCUAUAGUAUGAGAUAUCCUCCCACAUAUAGAAGUUGAAACAUCCUCUUCUGGAACUCACACAUCCAAUUCUGGUCCAUCCACUGCUUCUUCUAUUGAAGAAUGUGCUAUAUGCUUAACACAGGACUCUAAAAAUGACUUUUCACUGGCCUGGUUUAUUAGUGCAAGCUGAAUCCAAAAUACCUGAAGUACUUCACUUUCCUGAAAGCAGGAAGCACCGUCUUAUUAUACGAAUACAAGCUGCUUGCUUAUCGGCUGUUGUCACAAUUAAAUCAGAAUUAGCUACGAUCAAUGAAAAUAUCGUAGUAUAGUUACAGCUACUUUGUUGGCUGUAACGUGAUUUAAUUGUAGUCAGUCUUUACUUAAAAAUGCCCCACCCCAGGAAAGGAAUGCCUUUCUACUCCCAUGCUUUCACUUUUGCGUCUUUAUUCUAUGCUUUUCGUUGGUCAACAACCAACAAACAAACGUUCUCUAUAGUUCUUCACUACUCCUACAGGAAGGACUCGCUUUCUCUUUCUGUCUUGAGGGAAUCAAUAAUAAUAAUAAUAAAAUAAAUAAAAAUGCCUCAAUUGGAUAAAUUGACUUAUUUUUCACAAUUCUUCUGGUUAUGCCUUUUCCUCUUUAUUUUCUAUAUUCCAAUAUGCAAUGAUGGAGAUGGAGUACUUGGGAUCAGCAGAAUUCUAAAACUACGGAACCAACUGCUUUCACACCGGGGGAACAACAUCCGGAGAAAGGACCCCAAGAGUUUGGAGGAUAUCUUGAGAAAAGGUUUUAGCACCGGUGUAUCCUAUAUGGACUCUACUUUAUUCGAAGUAUCCCAAUGGUGUAAGGCUGUCGACUUAUUGGGAAAAAAGAGGAAAAUAACUUUGAUCUCUUGUUUCGGAGAAAUAAGUGGCUCACGCGGAAUAGAAGAACAUAUUCUAUUUGAUCUCGAAGUCCUCCUAUAGCAAUCCUGGAUGGGGGAUCACUUGUAGGAAUGACAUAAUGCUAAUCCAUGUUCCACACGGCCAAGGAAGCAUUUAGGAAUCAUGAAUUUAGUUUAGGCGUUCGCGCGAACUACUAGAAAAUGGUGAUGAAUUGCGAUUGGUCCAAACCUUCGACCAGCGACUUAUUGCGACCCGCCCAGAAUGCUCAUCCAUACUAAGACCUUAUUCACACAGCGAAGAAAGGCCGAGUGGAAGGGGGCAGUCAGCUGGCUCGAGCGGCAGGAACUUUUGCUAAAAUAAUGAAGGAAGCAGCACUCCCCACACUUUCUCUUAAGCUUGUGCGGCUACCCUACCUACCUUCGGGUGUUGAAAAACUCAUAGAUUCCCGAUGUCGAGCUACUAUUGGUAUAGUUUACAAUCCCAACCACGGUGCACGUAAGCUUAGAAAAGCUGGACAAAGCCGGUGAUUAGGCAGACGCCCCAUUAUUCGUGGUGUUGCAAUCAAUCCAGUGGAUCAUCCUCAUGGAGGAGGUGAGGGGCGCACGAAAGGAGGGGCUUCGGUUAAUGCCUUUGUCCGUAGGCGGUUGUACACUUUAAGCUUGAAGUAAGAAGAGAUAUUUUUCCGGGAAAAAAAGGGGGAAAAAGAAAAGUCUAAGUGCAUAUGGCACGAAAAGGAAAUCCGAUUUCAGUAAGACUUGAGAAGAAUUUGAGUUCAAAUAUCCUUCGUCCGGUUCGUCAUUUAUUGACAGAUUUUUCGGUAUUUAUCUCUCUAAGAACUAGAACGGAUUUAUUGAGAUUAUUCUUUUUUUUUCUUAGAAUUUCCAUUUCUUUAGUACUCAUGUGUAUUCUUAGCCCUGCUGUCGCUUUAUGCGCGGGGCCCGAGGCAAUUCCAGAUCUUGACCUCCACGACUUUCCCCCCGACAUUUCCCCGGCCGAAUCCGCUCAAUUAGAACGCGAAACGGAAGAAAAUGCCCGGGAAUGUGAUCGCUUACACAAUGAGAUAUUUCAAAAAACUAAAGAAAUAGCUCGGGCGGCGGGAGUGGACGAUAAUCAAAAACUGGAGAAAAUCGUCGACGCGGUCAAGUUUCUUUCCGACGUGGAGGACUUGGCCGAAGAGGCGCGAAUCCCCUAUCUCCAUGAGUUCAAAGCCAAGAUCUCGAACCAAGAAACUUGGUUCGAGAUCGAUAAGGAAAUGAAACGCUGGGGGGGGCGUGGCCUCUGAAACCCAAAAGCGGCAGAAUGGAAUGGAAAAGGGGUGCUUCGGAUCGGGAGUAAUCACUAGUUUUAGGGCGAAAAUCGGGGGGAAGGACAAAUUUUCAAGAAGAUCUCGGGCUCGAUCUGGUUUAGUAUCAAGGUGAUUCUGUUUUUGUUCCUAUAUAUAUGGGUCCGUGCAGCAUUUCCACGAUAUCGUUAUGAUCAAUUAAUGGGACUUGGCCGGAAAGUGUUCUUGCCUCUAUCAUUAGCUCGGGUAGUCCCCGUUUCUGGUGUUUUGGUCACCUUUCAAUGGCUCCCUUAAUUAUGUGCGAGGAAUUUCCCUCUUGAGUAAUGGGAAGCGGGCUAGUCCCCGAAAAUGCCCGUUCGCUUGUCGUUGGGGCUCAAAAUAUUCCUUGUUCGUUCCUAGGAACUCAGUAAAGUGACCAGUAAGUCAGCAGGCAUUGAGGCAGGCAGUCAGUACAUACAGUACAAGUGGGGACUCUUUUUUGAAACAUAAGGCCCCGAAGGACGUAAGGAGAAAGUCUAGCUUAGAAAGCGUUCUGCCCCUUUCAAUAUCUUACUUAUCUGUAAACUUUAAUGAAAGAAAAAUAGUCUAUUUAAUAGAUUGAACACUUGGUUGACUUUCCUCUCUCUUUGCCGAGUCGGUCUCACAGUCAGGUUUUUUCUAGGUAAACUCUUGUACGAAAGCUGGUCAUCCUAACCCAUACAUUUCAACGGAUUGAAAGUGAAGGCUUAUUUGAAUUCAGUCUAUCCUUAGUUCGAACUACAGCUCGACUUCCUUCUUCUUUUGGGUCUGCUUUGCCAAUGCACUGAUAGCUAUGAUUCUUCGAUCUCGAAAGUGAAAAGAUCAGGAUUGGAUGCUCUUCAAAGAUCUCCCCUGCUUACCUUUAGCGGGGAUCAAAACGACUUAUAUAAAUAAUACCACAAACCUGAGCCUUCCAAAAUUCAACUAUAGCAACUCAACUCUUCAGAUCAGGAAUAGCCUUUCUUAUCUAUUUAAUUUCACGCCCUGAGCCUGAGCUAACUCAUUUAUCUUUCGACUGGAACUCCUAAAUUAGUCAAUCCGGAAGUCACUUCGAUACCUUUCCAAGAGUCACUCGCUUCUUUAAGCCAUGCCCUUAGCACCAAGACUACUGGCCCUUCCUGCAAGAGCAGAAAGAUCCAUUCUUUGCCCCUCCUUCAAGGACAAGAGAUGGGGAUGAACGCUCGCUUAUUCGAUUCGUCCUCUAUCUAAGUUCAUUUGUGAUGAAAUCUUUUCCUACCCUGAGGUCAGGCUUAAGCUUAUUCCCGUCAGUUCCCUCACUCUCUUUCAAUGGCAUCUGCUUUCAAUUCAUUAAGAAAGAGAUUGCCCGGUGUGAACUCCUACCUUCUAAGUAGGCGAUCCCCUUUGUCUAGAUAGUGACUUCACUUCUCCUUUUGUUUUGGGCUUAAAGAAUGGCUUCGCACCUAGGAGACUCGCUAAGGUGAUUGGAAUCCGAUCUGAGAUGCUCUAAUCAAAAAGAGUGAAGAGAAGAAGUUGUUCCAUCUCCGGCAGAGCCUCUACGCUUUCAUCAAAGGAUGGCUGCUAAACAGUUUGGUCCUUUACCGAUUUUUAAGUAGUGAAUGAAAUGUCUCCUAAAGUUGGGUUGGAGGAAUUUCGAUUAGUGAACAUAGAGUGGAUUUACUCCACCUGGAUUGGAAUAUAACAACCCCUCCCCCCAACGUUAUAUAGCUAUAACGAGGGCUGCCUUUCUCUCUCUACCGCCUGUGUCUAUCUCCUGUCAAGUGUACUCCCUGCCACGCAACUCUCACAGCAACUGUAACUGUGUGACGAAACCCUCGACCCAGGUAUCCGGUAUGUAGAAGUCUUGAACCCUGGCAUCAAAGAAAGUCACUUUCAGUAUGGAAUGCCUCACUCAAUGAGGAAGUAUAUUCAUUACAUUUGUAAGCUCUCUAUGUAGCGAUUGAACCCAUGCUUGUUAUCAAAAAUUUCGUUCUCCUUUGGAGGUGAUCCUCCUCUUCAGAGGAAAUCUCAUGGUGGUCAGAGUGAGCGCUGGUGGGGGAAGCAGGGAGAGUAAUCUUCUAUUGUUGAAACUCUAUUUCUUAUUAAUAGAAUAGUAUUGGUCUACAACUAUUUAUUUCCAUGAAAAUGGUAGGACUUAUAUAGCACCCCAGGCAAGACACCUAGUUGAUCCAUCUAGCCUGCCUUAAAGGGCUUCUGUUCAAGAAGUGACUUUGUUGAGCUCGUUUUUUGAGUGAACAGUCGCUUUCCUAAUAAAUUAAAUACAUUCCAAGAAGACAAUUCGGUAGCCGAGUUGGUCUGACUCAGAAAAUGUACAAAGCGGGCAUCUCCACGAUAUACUCAGCCAGCUUGCUCUCUCAUCCCUCCUACCUACCUAUGCUUCUAUUCCCUUCACUGGUUGAUCGACGAGUCCACUGGCAUCUGGAGCAGUAUAUGUAACUGAAAGAUAUGCCACUAGACCAGGUGCUCGUUAUAAAGGCUACGAACCUUACAACGGGCUAUAGCUUUGUUGGAAUUGAUUCUGAUCGAGGUAGUGUAUGGGGAUGCAUCUAAAUCCGCGUAUGGAACCACAAUCUCUGCCGCUAGCUUUGCACUCGGAGGAUCUGAAAAUGGCUCCCUUCAUUAUUUGGUUGAACCGAGGGAAGUGCGGAAGCUAGAGCUAAAGCAAGGUACGAAGCUACAGCUAGCAAGCUGCUUUGGUAGUACUCGACUGAAAGGAGAGGGCUUUGCAGCUGCUGUCCAACAAGUUGAAGAGUUUGCUACAAAAGAAAAGUAAGGAGCGAGCCAAAGAGCGAGUGAGGUCUACUCCACGUAGCCAAGUCUUGUCAAAGCCCAAGUUGAAGCUGCUCUUGCCAAACUUUAACCAGUUCCUAAAGGACAGGAAUAGCUAAUCCGCAAGGAAAGGACAGGAAAGAUAGAUUAGAUUACACCCCUAUCAGUGCAACGGCCGCUUUCUUGGAACUCAUUCAUAGGCGCUUUAGUUCUACUUCUAACACUAGAUUUGUAUUAUUAUCUAAAUAUAACAAGCGUGCGAUACAAAGCAUCAACCUACGGAAAAACGAAUUGAUUGACUAUUGAGUGCAAUCCCGUAACUAGAUAGACUAUGGGUAGUUCAGGUGCGCUGAAAGUCUUAUAUAACGCAUGCCGAUGUUGCCACCGACAAACGUUUGACUUUGACUGUGAAAAGCUCCAAAUAGGCACAACGCCAUUUACGAUCGUUUAAAGGGCCUUAUAUUAUAAAGAAAGUAUAAAGAAAGUCAAGAUUGUUCUUGCGGAGAAAAGCCUACUUACUUGCUCUUGCUGCUUUUAAUUUAAGAGCAAGUCGGUCUAGCUUCUUACUCUUUCACCUUUCAAAGAAGUCGAAAUAGAAAGGGGUAGGAAAGAUCCCGUGUACCUUGUUCAAGUUGCGGAUCUCCUUCAUUAGCUUUGAGUUCAUUGUUGUUCUUCUGGUUCUCCUUUAAAAUAAAAGGGGUCGUGGGGGAAAUGCCCCAGUCCCCCUACAUGCAUUAAGCGACGACGGCUCAAACGAAGCAAACCAUUUCUCAUAAGAGAAUAGAAAAUCACAAGAAAGAUUUGAUCAAAAGUGACUAGAAAAGAGGCGGUCGAGAAGGAAUGAGUGGAAACUAUGUUGAUUGAGUGCAAUUUCUAAAUUAGGAAAGAUUAGACAGAAUCCUACCAAUCUAAAUCAAAGUUUCCAACAGUGAAAGGCUGCCCCUGUCGGCGGGUUGCUUAGGUCCAUGUAGUCCAAAUCUCCGCUUAGGAAAGAAGUCCAAGUUGACUUUUUGCGAAAGGGAAAAUGGCUUUCUGUUAGAGAGUGAUCGAGAGAAAUUUUCAGUUGGGAGCCAGUCUUUUGCAGCUAGGAGACAUUGUUGUUAUGUUUUCCAGUUAUGAGCCAUUGUUGUGUGGUCCCUUUCGAGCGGUUCCUUCUUUUUUUUUUCGAUGAUUUAAAGGCGACAGCUCUUUUCACCAAGGAACUGGGGCUUAGAGCUAUAACACAUACGCAAGAAGGAAGAAUGCCUUAAUGGACGGGUACGCUAAGGAAGGGGAGUCGCUUGCUUGUUUGGUGUGUUUGGAACCGGGUUGUUUAAAGCUACCCUUUCUUGAAGAAAGAGAACCUGGGCCCAGGUCUUGGUGUAUUUUGACAUGAUUCUCAAUACGCUAUCUAAACUAGGAAAGUCAGUAAGGAAAGGUGGGACAAAGAAAGCUCUACUUCGGGUAGCUGGGUGCAUCAACCUCUUUCUUUCACAGGAGAGGGGACAAUACGCUCUUAAGGAGCUUGGGCUACUCAACCGAUAGGAAUAGGGGCUUGUUUCCACAACUGAAAGAGAAUCUGAAGCAGGAUCGGAAACAGAAUAAGAUUGAAGAGCGGGGUAAAACCAUUCUCAGAAGGAGCAGGUUUAGCGGAUGGGAAUGGCAUUUCCGGGAAUGCAGUCAAGGGUGAAGGAGCGAAAGAAGCUAACUCGAAUGAAGAAUCUUUCCGAGGAGUGACCCCAAGUAGAAGUUAGAGAAGGAAUUGAUCCUUUCCUGAAGGAUAUAGGACUUAGGACACAAACUAAAUGAUCGAACUGAUGAAUCUCAGUCUAGGUGGAGUUUACCAGCACAUAGGUAGUCUAAGUUCCUAAAAAAGGGAGUCUCUGACUUUCACUUAGCUAUUCUCUGAGUUUGCUUUCCAGUCUAUCUUCAAAAGUAGAGAAGGUUUAGCGGUCAGUAAGAAACUCCUCAAUCAACAUGAAUGAGACUUUUCAUGGAAGUCUUAGUUGGACUCUACACCUUACUUUCCUUACGUCGAUCUCGAUGAUAACAAGGCCUUUCUUCCUCAUGAAGAAGGAGUAGAGACCUAGCUUUCAUCUGUCUGUUAAAAUGUGAUGCUAUACCUUUUGUCCUUGAGAAUCGGCUGGGUAUAGCGGGAAAGAGUUUGACGAUCUAGUUACAUAUCAAAUAAGAUGGGUACUCCCGAUAUUGUCUUGGGAAUUUUCAGUAUAUAUAGUAGCGUACUGGACUCCAUCUACAUAAGUAGAAGCAUUCAAGAAUCACUUGACAGUUCUAUUCAAUUUUCCGACUCUCAUCUUGUUAACUGACUUAACCGCAAUACUUAUCCAAAGACAGGACAAGUUGAAAGAGCUUCGGUAGUUACACUUUCUGUCUCGCGUAAGAAAGAGAGUUUAGAGUGCCAUACAAAGAACCUUAGAUAAGGGGAUUCCUCCCAUUGACUGAAGUGAAGAGUCAACCUUCCACACAAGGUAAUCUUCUGAUAGAGGGGAAGAGGCAGAGCACAACCUGGCACAAGAUGCGCUGGUAUUGCAAAGGCAGGAAUGAGUUCACAACGUUCGAAUAAGCUACUCGACCGACUAAAGCUAAAAGGAGAAAGGGAGAUGACUCUAGUUGUUGAGUACCCGGAGGAAGGUACCAGAUCGACUUCUAGUUGUAGCGGAUCUUACUUACAUCGGUUCUAGCGCUUUCUCUUGAUUCUAUUUUUGAAAGAUCUUUCCUUGCUCUGAGGAAUGCCCGGUUUAACCAGAAUCAUCUCGUUAGCUUUUAGAGUCAUCCCGGGAUCUUUGGCUUAUGCCAUGUGUUCCAAACUUGAACUCAACUUCCUUUUUUCACCAACAUCCGCUUCUCACUCAAGAAACUGGUGAAAGUCCUUUCCCUUUGCUGCAGCUUUCACAGUCCCACUCCUCCUCAGACCAGACUGGGCUGCAUUGCCGUACCUUCAUACCUUCGCCCCGAUGUCCUGUCUUAAGGUUCCCCCGAGCUACUUUAUUAAAGCAGACUUUUGCUCAUCGUCUGCGUCUUUAGUCGAAAGCUAUUUCUUUUAUGAUUCCUUCUGUCACUUCUUGAAGACUUUAUUUUUCAUUCAAUAGCCCCUCUCCUAUAAGAGAAGGAGGUUUCUUCACCCCUACGGCAGUAGGCCCUUCUUCAAGAGUGCCCUUUCCCCAGCCUCCAAUCGUCUCAGAAGAGAAGACUAAGCUCAGACGAAUUGCAGUCCGCCCCGGCCCCUCCUUAGUGACUUUGGUCAGGAAAGGGAAUAGGGCAAUAAAUAGAGCUUCGGCUCAGAAUUAGACCUUCUGUAGACGGAACUUCAGACUUCUGGAUAGGCCUGAGAAAGCCUAGACCAAAGGUGCCUAAUAGCCUAGCCAGACUCAUCGGGUAGGGAAUCCCAUCCUCAGCGAAGCCAGUAAGCAAGCCCAAGUCCAUGCAAGAAGGCCCGCUGGAUCUAUCAAAAUUCAAAGCCCAUCAAAGACUCUCCUACAUGAAAGGAUCUGAGUCCAUCCAAAUGAUAUUAAGCAAAAUCCUAUUCUGGAAAGAAUGGCAAAGUAAGGGAUUUAAGUCUGCUCAGAGAUUUCAUAUCUCUCCCACGUGUGAUUCAUCCUAACAACUAUCGAUUAGGUUUUUCUACUUAAUUAAGCUGGUUAUGCAAAGUUUUUAAAUUUGUUCACAUAGGCAGCGUGAUUGGGGGGCAUAUUUGUUGCUUCCCAAGGUAGUUAGUUCACCACACAGGCAUGUUAGUACUAAACUGCAGAAAACUAUUAAGUCAUCCAAUUCAUGCCGCAUUGCGAGAUUACUCUACCACUCUAUAAAUGGAGGCUCGAUAAGUGUCUUCACUUCAUCAAAUUCAAAUCAAAGAAAUUGAGUACUACUAUGGAUGCUGCAAACAGGCUUUCUGCAAUUGCUGCCGAAAUGGGGCAACUGCAAAAUGAAAUUCAAGAGCACCGUAGAGUGCUAAACUUCCUUUUGAGAAGUGUUAGAACAAUGGAUCCUGCAAGGAAAGAAGCGCGCAUUCGCGCUACCAGAGAGCGCAUAGAGGGUUUGGAGGAGAGGCAGCAAGCGCUGCGGGCGGAGCAGCAAGCGCUCAUUGUUCAUGGAGCACUCGGUCGCCUGGGAGACUAGAAGAAAUUAACAAAAAGUAGUUAAGUCACCUUCAGGCUUUCUUAUUCCAGGAAAGUAUGUAGUUGCAAAAAUGAAAAGAGUAGUUCUAAAAUAAAAUGUUGGCCCUAUUAGUUGUUGUGGGUCACGAGCAUGUAACUUGUUUUGAAUUUCUCUUUAUUUUAUAUAAGCCCUUUCCUUAAGGUGAUUUUUGAAUUGUGUCCACUGCAGUACUCUAACUCUCUUAUAGUGUACUACAUUACAUGAAACGUAGUUCAUGAUUUCCCCUUCGCUCUCUUUAGCAUUUUGGUUUAACACCACGCAGGCAGCUGGUACCUUCCCAGCUUCUUAAUCAGGUAACCUGCCAAUUCAACACAUUGUCAGCGGCAUUUUGCCUGUCAAAAUUCAUUAAUGAAUCAGUAUCUCCUUUACUUGAACACGGGUUUCGACUUCCCCUCCGGAGGACCGGUGUAGCUCGCUUCGCUUACCGCCUUCGUCUUUCGCCAGGGCUUAUACUUCAUCAAUGUCCUUACUGCGUUUCACGCUUUUCAGGACCUCGAUCCAAGCCCUCAGUCUCAAUUCAGCAUGGAUGGAUAGAUGGCAUACGGCCGUUAGCUAUUAAGUCUGUCUCCUGGUUGUUAUGUUAGGAACAACCGUCAUCAGCAAUAGGCGCUUCUUUUUUUUUUCAAGGCCGUCGAAGAACUGGUGAAGCGGGAGCUACAGUCUUUCCUCCAGACUCAUCGGUAGGGUGAUGCUACUUCUAAGGGUUGAGACGAUUCAAUAGGCUUGGCUUGGGGCUCCCUCCCAUGCGGGUAUCCUUCCGUUUGUUGGCUCCUCAGCACAUAGGGCUAGGGAGGAAUGAAUUCGCUUAGUCCUAUGAAAAAAAGCUUCCUAUGAUUUUCUGGUAUGGAUGAGCUUCUAGGAAAUCUGCCAGAGCCCUUCCCUUCACAGAUUUCUUGAAUAGAUAUUCUCUCCAAUUAAGAGAAUAACAGAGACCAUUUGGUCAAUCGACCUGAUAACAUUGGUCUUUUCAUUAAAAACUUGAGAGGGUCUGCUCUUGAGAUUAACUUGAUCUGAUUGCUAAGAAAGAGUAGCGUAGCUUUUUGCAGCAAAGACCGCACAAAACACUUUUUCAAUUGGCGAAUAGUUUUAUUCCGCCUCUACGAAUCGCCGGCUUAAGUAGUAUAAUGCAUUCUCCUUUCCCUGUUCAUUCUCUUGUGCUAAAAGUGCUUCGCUUCCAGAGAAUGUUCGCAGGCGGCGAGAUCGCUAUAGAGGAUUCAAGGCUUUUCUCGGCGCGGCCAAUACCGGAGCAGAGGUUUCUUAAGAAGUUCCAGUUCCUUUUAUGUUAUGGUAUAAGGCAUUCAAAUAGGGGUGAGGCGCAGCUCUUAUUUUAAUCCUCCGUCCCAAACAAAGAAAGAACAAGGAUUUCAUCCAAGGUGCCAGCACAAGCACAAGAAGAAAGAGAUUUCUUUCUUUUAGCCGCUAAAAGCUGAUUGAUCUGUUCUCCACUUGUCACUGUAACCGUAAAAGACUCUAUCUUAAAAGCUGCCUUCUUUUUUAUCAGAGAAUUCUGCCUAGAUAAAAGAAUAAGUAAUUAAGGGGGUGUUUCAAUCGCAAACAGAAGACGGAUCUCAGACACGCAAGCUACAAGCAUUAACAACCGCUUUCGUUUAACCUUAUGUAAAAAAGAAGCUUUAUUAGUAAGGUAGGUAAAAGCCCUUUCUAUGUUAUUAGUAAAGCGCCGCAACUGCUGUUUCUACCACUUUAUUGGACUUCGGGGACUUUACGGCAGAGUACUCGGAAGGACGUCGAAAAAGAAAGGCNNNNNNNNNNNNNNNNNNNNNNNNNNNNNNNNNNNNNNNNNNNNNNNNNNNNNNNNNNNNNNNNNNNNNNNNNNNNNNNNNNNNNNNNNNNNNNNNNNNNNNNNNNNNNNNNNNNNNNNNNNNNNNNNNNNNNNNNNNNNNNNNNNNNNNNNNNNNNNNNNNNNNNNNNNNNNNNNNNNNNNNNNNNNNNNNNNNNNNNNNNNNNNNNNNNNNNNNNNNNNNNNNNNNNNNNNNNNNNNNNNNNNNNNNNNNNNNNNNNNNNNNNNNNNNNNNNNNNNNNNNNNNNNNNNNNNNNNNNNNNNNNNNNNNNNNNNNNNNNNNNNNNNNNNNNNNNNNNNNNNNNNNNNNNNNNNGAAUUCUGCCUAGAUAAAAGAAUAAGUAAUUAAGGGGGUGUUUCAAUCGCAAACAGAAGACGGAUCUCAGACACGCAAGCUACAAGCAUUAACAACCGCUUUCGUUUAACCUUAUGUAAAAAAGAAGCUUUAUUAGUAAGGUAGGUAAAAGCCCUUUCUAUGUUAUUAGUAAAGCGCCGCAACUGCUGUUUCUACCACUUUAUUGGACUUCGGGGACUUUACGGCAGAGUACUCGGAAGGACGUCGAAAAAGAAAGGCGUCUGGGAGAAGACGGCCCGAGUGCAGACAGCAGAUGGCUACAGCCGGCUAGACGACUUACUCUACAAAGACGGCAGACUAUGUCGGGCAAAGAAAGGCGUCUCGCGGUCCUUCAUGACGCCAGAGUUGGAUUACACUUUGGAGUUGAUCAAACUCUGGCUCACCUAGAAAGGCAUUCUUAUUGGCCCAGGAUAGAAGCAGAUGUCCAACGGUGAUGAGUUGUGUGUGCUCUAUGCAGCACGUCGAAGCUGUCCAACAGGAAGUUGGGGCUUUAUCAGCCCAAUACCUUCCUGGCCAUGGGAAAAUCAUAACCAUAGAUUUCGUAGGACGAUUUCCCUAUCUCUUAAAGGGGGGGGGAUAACUACGUUUUUUUCGUAGUAGACUUCUUUCCCUUUAUCUCGCUAUUGGUCACUAGUAGAACUCCCCUACUCACUAGAUAUGAUUUAUUGAUUGAUGAACCCUGAUCACUAAGCGCACUUACUUUCACUUUAAGGCUUUAUUGAAAGGAAUGGGGAAUCUUCUUAUUCCUUAAAGGUGAGUUUUCUUACUGGUUCAAGGAAGCUUUGUCUGCGUUCCAGUAAGCGCCUCUCAAAGUAAGCCUAUCCAUGAUAGUAGAGUCUGAGAAAGCAAGCACUAAACUCAAAGCUUAUGGCAGCAGCUAGAGUCACUCCAGUAUUCAGAAAAGAAGGAGGUGUCCUAACUGAGUUCUUUUCUCGCGCUUAUGCCUCUCCUCUGCCUUAUCUCCAUUCCGUAGAUAGAAUCCGGAAAAAUCGAUAUACGAUAUACCUUUUUGAUUUUAUAGGUAAGCGUUUAGUAUAGUAGUUCGACGAGCCCUUUUUGCUUCUUCCUUCUAGCUAAGUCACAGUCUUAUCCCUUAUUCGAUUUCUUCAAAACCAGGCCUGAAGGAAGGAAUGAAUCAAAAGAUAACCGAUAAAUAGGUAGCACUUGAGGUCCCUAAAGACAGAAGGAAAGACAGAACCUUACUAGAAGGAAGAAGAGCUAUCACUAGGACAGAAAGUCGGCACACAUGCUUGUCACGCUUUAUAUACUCCGAUCGGGGAAUAUUAAUAGAUCUUAUUAGCUAUAGACUCGUUCCGCUAGACGAGUUUAGGAAAAAGGAAUUUCGAAUUGUACGAUCAGCUCCCUCAAUACCUCCUUCCAUGCAAGCAAUUACAGCUCUUUUCUCUGCCUCUUAGCCCGGGAUAGCUGUCUCGGGUUUCUUACCCUGCUCUCAUUCCUGGUCUGACUUUUCUUUUUG